rnacentral:lncRNA from 1 species
AAAUCUUCCCAAUCGAGCAGUAAUUCACCACAUAAGUUGAAUUGUACAUAACUUGAACAUUAGGACCAUAGGUCUUGAUGCGAUUCUUGAUUUCCUUAUAAGUCACAACGCCGUUAUCAUGCAAAGCUGGUCCUGUUGCUGCUGCACCAAUACCAUUGUCCUCUGGUUUCACAAGCGUCCAUGCAUAGCCAUAGAAAGGCAAAGACAUAACCAACUUAUCUGCCGAUAACCCUCUCUGUAUCCAUGCCUUUAAAACCUGAUCGGUACUUUUAGCAAAGCCGCCGCUACUUGAGCCAUGGAGAGCCGCAGGUGGCGCAGUGAAGUUUGUUGACAAAGGCUUGUAGUAGUUAGCAGUAACUGCAUGAACCCAAUUCAAGUUUCGUUGCAUCGAAUUCAAAAGAUAUGAAUUCGCUGGUGGUGAAUAACGAAAUCUUGCGGUCAAAAUCAGCGGGGAUUGCUGGCGACUAGAGUUUUUUGCCUCUAAUUUUGUAGCAGCAAUUCGCCACUCGUCAAAAAGUAAACCAAUAUUGAACAUAUCGGUGCUUGUGUUAGGAGCUGUCCAAGCAAAGUCUAGGCCCUGAAAGCCAUAAAGCCUAGCCAUUCUUAUUGAAGAGUCGAUGAAAGAUUCUCUGUGAGAAGAAUUUCUCACCAUUGAAGAAUAAAUAGAAUAGUUUGUAUCCAUUCCUUGUCCAAUGGAGAGAAGUAUAGUGAUUGAUGGGUUCUUUUUUUUCACAGUGUCUGCGAAUUUGGCGAUUUGAUUUUCAUCGGACGGUAAUGAUAAAGAUAGCUGGUAAGUGGUGGAAUUGAUAUCAGCAGAAGAGCAAAUAAGGUGAGUGAAGAGAUCAUAAUUUAUGCCCGAAAUGGUGGACACUUCGCUUAGAUUCAAGUAACCGACCCUAAUCCACGGUUUUGCUUUCGCGGGAUGAAGUUCUGAAUAGAGCAACGCGUGGAAGAUGAUGCUGAUAAUUAUGGAUGCCAUUUGAGACUUUGUUAGGAAUGGAAAUGGAUCCACAGGAGAGAAAUUAAAUAAACACUAGUUUCACAGUUCAUUUGAGUUCUUAUGUAAACUAUUAACGCAUAGGUUCAUUUCGUUCCAAAAAAAUCUUAUGUGCUCCUGAUAGGGACACAUACAUUGCAUGUUAAGAUGAUGAUAGGCUGAGAACUAAGAUUUUCUUCCAUCGCUUGGGUGACCUUUCAUGAAGAAAAAUGAUGUUUUGAUUUGCAUUUGGUUAAACUGAUGACAUAUUUCGGGCAAUAAAUAUCAGUAUUGUUUUAUUAAAUAAUAAAAAAAUUAAUUUUACAUGUACGUUGAAAGUUAAUAACUUAAUAUUGCAGUCUUUUGAGCCUGUGUUGACGUUUAUUCGGGUGUAUUCGUUUAUUAUAUAUUCCCGUUUUUCUCCCCGUGUCUGUUUUGCUACAGUGCUCUUAAAAGGAUAACAUCUUUAAUACACCUCAGAAGUAGUUAAGAAAGUCUUGAUAAAAAACCAGACAUUUUCUUUAUACUCAAAAAGUAGUUAUUGGACUAAUUAAGAUUCUAAUCCCUUUAAGAAAUAUUCAAAAGGGGUUAUUGUCACUACUUUAGUCCUUGUUGUUUUAUUUCAAAAGUUAUUUCACACUAGUGUUUAAUAUAAGAUACAAUACUACCAAAAUUCUACUCAAUAGUUUAUUUAAAAUAGUAUUGACUAUUAAAAAUAAGAAUUUACACUAAUAUUAAAUUCAACAAUUAGUAACAUUAUUUAAAAUAAUUAUAGUAUUUAAAUGGUUAUUUAUCUUUAUUAAAUAAGAUUUAACAUAAUCCUCUGCGACAUUUUACUAAAUAAGUACAGUUUUAUAUAUAAUUCAAUCUAAUCGUAAAAAAUAAUUUAUUCCAAUCCUACCUUCCAAACAUAGACAUAGUAGACAAUGAGAGCAUGAGUUAAGAGAUUAUAAAUCAUGGACCAAGGGACUAAAGAUACGGACCUUGAGAUCAUAUAUCGUGGACUAUUAGAGACUAAUGACCGUGGACAAAUCUUAGUACAUAAAAAAGGGAAUUUUAGUCAAAUGUAGUUUGAUAUUAAGGAAUUCAGCAAGCAAGCUACAAGAAUAUCCAAAAGCGUGUAAUUUAUGUUUAAGGAAAUAAGUGGAGAUAGAGAUGAAAUUGCAAAUUCAUCCCAAUCUUAAGUGGUUUAAUUCAAGAUGUAUGUUACCUACAAGCACAGUAAGCACGGUGAUGUCUCUCUUUAACACAGGGGACACAACAAAAACACUGUUAUUUUCUACCCUUUUAAAAAAUUCCAAUAAUAUGUACACGUUAUACAUACAUGCAUCACAUACGUGCGUCGAUCAUCGAUGUAAAACUAACAGCAAAUUUCUAGUAAAACAAACAUCAUUACUUUUAGUAGAAGAUAUAAAAAAUAUCAAUUAGUAACCAUUAGAAAAUAAAAAUUUAUGUAAUUGAUGCAGAUAAAUGGAAUCAAGUAGUAACAUUUCCUUCUCUUUGAAGAGAAAAGAUUAAAAACAAAAAGGGGGGCGGAGCGCAAACAUGACAAUUUUUUUUAUCCGCACAUGCCAUGAUAAUCGAUAAUCCGAUAUACCAACCGCGUCUAAUUGUCUGAAUUCUCCAGCUUAUCAAGCUUGCUCAAUUGCACCGACAGACACUGACCAUGGGAGAUUAAUCACCACUCGCAGUAUUAGAUGCGUGAAGGACACAUUCGCCAAUAAUUUAUAGCGGACAGUAGCAUUCCCCAUGCCGCACGGAGAAAAAUAGUUGGAUUUGCGUAAGUUAAAUUGACUUGACUCGAAUGGUGGUGGUUGCUGUUAAGCGGUCAGUACUUCUGGCGACUGCUUGGCUUACACGCAGUUCUUGGGGGUGUCAUUUGACUGUGAAAAAGAAUUUUGGCUUUAUUGAUAUCAUGUUGGCUUUGGAAUUUUGGAUGGCUUCGUUUGGACCAUAAGACACGAUAUCGUUCAUAACACGUUAGCAGUCCUUCUCACGGGAGAAAAACUGGGGUGGGGGCAGAUGUACCGUAUCAACUGCCGUUUAGCAAGUCCUGCUCUCGUAUGGAGUCACCACUUUGACCAGCACUUUAUCCCUUAUGGACCGAUCCGGUGCGAGCAGGGAUUGGUCUGGGUUGUGGUACGAGUUUAAAAGUGUCUCCCACAAUUGGGGUCCACUCAAGACCACCUCGUGGUUCAGACCACAAACAAAAUUGUCGUUUAGCAGAUCAUAUGAGUCCUCAAAGUGUCACUUACAAUUUUUUUUAUUAUAAAUGACUGUCAAAUAAUUAAUCAAAAUUUUAUUAUUUACGGUUAUAAUUAGAAUGAUAAAAGUUGUACAGUUACAUCCACAUAUAAGUUUAUCUUUAAAGGAUAGGGGCAAUGAAUAUAACCGUAUAAGUUAUAACCUCAUAUAAGUUUCUUUCUUCUUAUGGAUAUAACUGUAUAUGGGUGGCGUUAUAUAGUGCCCCACAGAGGCUCUUUAAAAUUAUUUUAUGUACAUUUUAAACAUUCCCUCUUUAUUGAUUUGAAACACCAAAAAUACCUCUCUUAAAUUUUAAAAAUAUAUAAAAUAAAAAAAAUUACAUGUUAAAACUAUGCUUGAUGUCUCUAGCCUAACAGUUAGCACACGUAUUGUACACUUUCACCUUUUUCUUCUCAAAUUUUUUACUCCUCUUUUCUCUAAUUCUUCACACUUCGCUACUAUCUCUAGAAGCUUAUUACUAAUUUUCUGAUCAAAUUACUUAUAUAAGUACUCUUAGUUGAUUAUCACUUCUUUAAUUUUUUUUGGAGAUUUCUCUUAAAUGAAAGAAUUAAGGUUAUGUUCUAGAAAAUUUUUAACUCCCAUAUUAUAGUUUUGAUAAUGAGAUUAUCCUUAAAUUUUCAACAUAUGAAAAUACUUCGAAACAACUAUAAAUGUGUUGAAUGAAAUAUUCUAAUAAAUUUAGAUUUUAGUACUUAUUAUUUAUUAAUUUUUUUUUAAAUUACAUUACUAAUUACUACUUGAGCUUAGCCCUUGUGACAUUAAAUUGCUGAUAGCGCCACUAAAUGUAAGUUUUAAACUCAUGUUCGAUUUCUCCCAUGUGUAAACUCUGCCUUUAAUUUAUUAUUUAGUGAUAUUACAUUGCAUUAAUUAAUACAAUACAAAUUGUUUACUAACAGAGCCUCAAGAGAGUAAUUUAUUAUUUAGUUGGCAAAUUAAACAACUGCAGCAGUCACUAGCAGCUGGCCAAGAGCUAGCAUAGAUCAAUUGUUCAUCUACCUACCACUUGUGAAAUUGUUACAUCAUUACUUGAACAUAUUUCCAAUCCAAUCGUGGUUUUGUUUUGUUCGUCUUCAAAAGCUUUGUUUGAGAAACUCGCAGGCUUCUUUGGAGUCAUUAUAUCAGCUGUAUUCUCAUUUUCGAGCAUCGAAGAAAUUUCCAGUAUAGAAGGUCUAUCGUUUGGGUUCUCCUGAACACAUAGCAAAGCUACUUGGAGACAUGUCAAUAAUUUCCACGAGGAAUUCGUUUCAUCUAGUGAUGGAUCCAUUAACUCCACGCCUUUCCCAUUCUUCCACAACUCGUAUGCCUGAAAACAUCAAAUAUGUUAUUGAGUUACAUUCAAUUGAUUAGCACUAUAAUGUUUUGAUUCAGUGUGUAUUAGAAAGGGGGUUAUGAAGAAACUUACAUACUCUACAAGGCUUAAAUUUUCAUUUUGACCAUAUCGAAUGAAAAGUCUUCUUCCACUUAUAAUUUGUAGAAUCAAAACUCCAAAACUGUAGACAUCAGAUUUAGUGGAGUAGACGCCUCUUCCAACAUAUUCAGGAGGAAUAUAGCCUCUGUAGUAUCGAGUAAUUACAAAUAUUACUAAAACUAUUUGACGUAAAAGAUUAAGUUGAUUGGUAAAGGUUCGACAAUAAUAUUAAAGACAAGUCGGAAAAAAAAAGACAAAUAUAUACUUACUGUGUUCCAACAAUUCGAUUUGUUUUUGCUUCAAGAUCAUCUUUCACAAAAAUUCUAGCCAAGCCAAAAUCAGAUAUUUUAGGUUUCAACUCUUCAUCCAACAAAAUAUUACUAACUUUUAAGUCUCGAUGAAUAAUUGUUAAUCUAGAAUAUUCUUGGAGAUAGAGAAGCCCCUGAAUAAUUCCUUGAAUGAUAUGAAUACGUUUUUUCCAAUCCAAAAUAAGCCUUCUGAUGGGAUCUGCAUCAAAUGUAAAUAUAGUUGGACGGUCAGUACCAUUAGCAUUUGGAGACGAGAAAUGCAAAUUGAGGCACAAAAAUUAGAAAUUAAGCAGUUAAGCACAUACCAAAAAGGAAAUAGUCUAAGCUUCGUUUUGGCAUAUACUCAUAGAUGAGCAUAUAUUCUUGUGUGUCAAUGCAAAAACCCAAAACUCUGAUCAGAUUUACGUGUUGAAGCUUUGCAGUAAGCAUAACCUCAUUCUUGAACUCCUCAAAUCCUUGUGUGGAUGUCUUCGAGAGUUUCUUCACUGCUAUUAUUUGUCCAUCAGAUAAUACACCCUGCAAACACGCCCCAAAAUGUUUUUUUUUAAAAGCACUAUGUUCACACACACACACACACACAAACACACGUAGCUUGCACUAAUUAAUUAAUAAGCUUAGAGAUAACCAAGCUACCGAUACAUAACCUUGUAAACAGGACCAUAUCCACCCUCCCCGAGCUUAUUUUCAAUUGAAAAUCUAUCCGUGGCCACCUCAAUAUCAGCCAAGCUAUAUUCUCUGAGAUCAGGAUCAUUGCUGUUAAAAUCUCCAGCAUCUGCUUGACUAUUUGCGCUGUCCUUUGAUGCUUUGGCUGAGUCAAUUACGGUCCAAUUAAUAUCAACCAAGAGAAAGAAAGCUAAUUUAAGUAAAUUGCCCACUUCUUCAUCUGUGUUAAAUGGAAUAGAAGUAAAAAUAUUCCUAAUCCCGUGCAGAAGAAGUUACCUUCUAAUUUGAGGUUUUUCAUCCAGCAGUAGUAAUACAGCAAAAAGCCUAUUAGAAGAAUACAAGCUGUAGUUAUAGGCAAAACAAUUGCCCAUAAUAGCCGCUUAUUUUGUCGAUUCCUUUUAUCCUCUUCAGCUGAAAAGUCAAAUCACUUUGUGUUAUUUAACCACUGAUGGUCAAAUAAAGAUCUUAAUUGAAGUCAUUAUGCAGAGAAGUGAUCGAAUGGGUAGCAGGCAGUGAGUGAGGCUUUGCAUUUGCUUACCUGCAGCUUGAGAAAGCAUCCAAUAAUGAUCACUGGAAACUUCCCACACAUAGUAACCACGUAGCUUCUUCUCCUUGGCAUAUGCAACCUUCACUCUAACGGCCUCGACAUCAUCAAAACCAAACCAAAUCUUCCCAAUCGAGCAGUAAUUCACGACAUAAGUUGAAUUGUACAUUACUUGAACAUUAGGACCAUAGUUCUUGAUGUGAUUCUUGACUUCCUUAUAAGUCACAAGGCCAUCAUCAUGCAAAGCUGGUCCUGUUGCUGCUGCGCCAAUGCCAUUGUCCUCAGGUUUCACAAGCGUCCAUGCAUAGCCAUAGAAAGGCAAACAUAAAACCAAUUUAUCAGCCGAUAACCCUUCCUCAAUCCAUUCCGUGAUUCCAUAUUCAGUAUUAGAGACACUAUUUGGAUCAUACAGAGCCGCAUGAGCACCAGUAAAAUUUUGCCACGUAGGGCUUGAGUAUUCGGUAGUGAUAACAUGAACCCAAUUCAAGUACUGUCUUAUCGAGUCGACUGGAUAAGCUGCUGCUGUUGAGAGUGGUGAAUAUGCGACCUUUGCUGUCAAAAUCAACUGUGAUUGGCUCGAGUUAUUUCUUGCUUCUAAAGCAACGGCAGCUCGCCAUUCUUUAAAGAGAAUGCCAAUAUUGUACUUAUCCCGGCUUGUGUUUGCCUGAUUCCAAGACAGAUCUAAGCCUUGAAAGCCAUAAAGCCUUGCUAUUUUUAUUGAGGAGUCAAUAAAGUAUUUCCUGAAAGAAGGAUUGCCCGCCAUGGAAGAAUAACUUGAAUAGUUUGGAUUAUUGCCUCCUCCGAUGGAAAGAAGAGUAGUGAUUGAUGGGUUCUUUAUUUUGACAGUGUCUGUGAAGUUGGAGAAUUGUUUUUCAUCAGAAGGUGAUAAAGAAAGCUCAUAGGAAGUUGAGUUGACAUCAGCAAAACCACACAUAAGGUGAGUGAAAAGAGCAGAAUUUACAUCUGAAACGGGGAACCCAUCGUCUGAAUCCCAGUAACCAGCUCUGAUUAAAGUUUGUGCCCUUGCAGGAAGCGAUUCUGAAAAUAUAAAAAUGUAGAGGACAAGAAUGAUAAUUUUGGAUGCCAUUGUGGGAACCUUGAUGCUUUGAGGCAAACCUAGUAUGUGAUUACAUAUAUAUGUACAGACACAAAAUGUAAUGGAGAAAAUAUCCGACACCGAUUGAGAUUUGUUAUUGGACUAUAAUACAAACUUGAGGCAACUUUCAACUCAUGAGCUUAGCUCAUAAGUCUUUAUACGAUAUCAAAGUCAAGUUUCGAAAGAGUGACUCUAUACUACCUUUCAAUUUAACAAAGAGAAAGAAAAGAGAUCAACCUACACGUGGUAGGAAGAUAGAAAAAGUAUAUCACAUUGGCUAAGAUUAAUUACUAGGUUGAUAAUAUAAGCUCAAAACAACACUCAGGUCCAUAACAAGCUGUAAUUUAAUAAAGUUAGGUCAACUCGAUAUUUUAUAUAGUACGUCAUGAGUGAGGAGGAGUUUAAGCUGCAAAUCGCAGUCAUGAGUGAGAACAAAUUUGAUUUUCUCAAGAUUUUGCGUUUUGUACACGUUGAUCAUGGACUGAAUCAAGUUAGAAAAUAUUUUCACAAGAUUUUCCCUUCAAAUUGCAUGGAUGGAACCAUAGAGGAAUACAUCGAAAAGUUUGUCUUCUUGUCAUGAUGUUAAGUGAUAAGAUUGAAGCUCUUAAAUUAAGCUAUGACGUUUUACCUCCACUUAGCUUGACUUCUGAAGCUGAAGACUCAUGCUUUUGCAUUGACUUUGUUGGUAUUUAAAUGACCUCGGAGUCUUGGACGUGUUUCUGAAGCAAUGCCAUGGUCUAUGAGUACAUUUUUUUUUUUGGGUAAAAAAGGGAAAGUCUGUCGUUAGGAAAACAUCCUGACAACGGGAUGGUGAGGGGGGAAAAAAACAAAUUAUACACUUAAUUAUUUCCUCAUGAUAAGAUUCAGUAGUAUUGUAAUUUUAAUAAAAAAUUAAGACCCUUUUGCCCUUUUUCUUGUGUAAUUUAAUUUUCAAACAAGACCACCCUCCAAUUUUAGUAUAAAAGCCUAUACGAAUGUCCGUUCACUUUGACUCAAUGUUUACAUAAAAACAAAUGGCGCGCAGACGAUUUGUCGAUCUAGUACCACUCUCGUAUACUUGGUGAGAUUCAGCUUCACCAAAUUUGUAGCCUAUAUUUUACUUUAAUGAGAAAAUCAAAUAUUGUUUGAACAAAUAAUUUUCUUUUUUCUAUAUACUUUCUUAAAAUGUAUGGAGUGGGUAAAGUACAAAUUGAAUUUUUAGCCCUUUGACUCCUCCAAAAUUCGAACUCAAUUUAAUGUCAAUUAAAAUAAUGCUACUUGAAAAUCAUUCAACCAAAUAUCGUAAAAACUAUAAUUUUACGAAGUGAAAGUUUCACUGAUUAUUGAAUUAUAGAACGUGCUAUCAUUUCCUAGUUAGAAUUUGUUUAAUUCUAUUAAUUUACAAUCAUUCUUUAUUUUAUUUAAUUAAUUAAAGUGAAUUUGUUUUGUAUAAGUUCUAUAUAUGUAAAAUUUUAAAAUUCAGUGUUGAACUUAAUUGUACUAAACCUUUUAUAAUUUUUUAUCACACCUGCAUGUUUAACAGUCUAGUAUUAAUAUUGAUAGCACAUAAUAUAUAGGAUUAAGAGACAUUGAUUUCGGGUGCUACAAGAUUUUUAGGAUUGCAUGCACAAGGGCUUAAAAACAAAGUGAGGAUUUAAUUACACCAAACGAGGGUGCGUUUUUAUGAUAAAAUAUAAACUACGUGCAGGGUUGUAAAAGUGGCUCCAUAAUCAGUGUACAUUGACAUUCAUCUAGCUACCACCUCCGAAAAUGAUACAUCAUUAGCCGAGCAUUUUUCCAAUUGUGUUGUAGAUAAUAGUUCAAUCCCAAUUUCAUCAACUGGUUUUGAGAAAGCAGGCUUCUUGGGAGUAUUUGUAUUUGUGGUUUCAUUCUUGAGCAUUGAGGAAACUUGUAACAUUGAAGGUCUAUCGUUUGGAUUCUCCUGGACACACAACAAAGCUAUUUCCAGACAUCUCAUUAAUUUAUAAGGAGAAUUUGUAUCAUCUAGUGAUGAAUCGACAAACUCCACGCCUUUGCCACCUUUCCACAACUCAUAAUCCUGAAAUUAUCAAGUACCAUUUUGUUACAUAAUUUAUACUUCUUAAUUAAGUGCGCAUAUGUGUACUCAGGGUUACUAUAGCCAAAGAAACUUACGUGCUCUAGAAUGCUUAAAUUUUCAUUGAUGCCACAUAACAUUGAAAGCCUCUUUCCACUUAUGAUUUGUAGAAGUAAGACUCCGAAACUUAAAACGUCUGAUUUGGUAGAGUAUACACCUUUACUGGCGUAUUCAGGAGGAAUAUAGCCUCUGCAUUCAAAAUAACCAAAAAUAAGUACGUAUAUAUAAGUAAGGGAUUUUGCAAUUUAAUAAAUUUGUAAUUACAUUGUGAUAAAAGUCUAUCCUGAAUUUUAUUAAAGAGCUGGAUUCCUUAUUCGAAACUCACUAUAUAUAUAUAUAUGUGUGUGUGUGUGUGUAUGCAUGCAUGUAUGUAUGUAUGUAUGUAUGUAUGUAUGAAUGAUAUGUAUACGCGCACACAUGUAUGUACACAUAAGUACAUCGAGUAAACACAUCAUAUAUAUAUAUUAAAAUUCUGUAUUAGCUUGGUCCUCAUAUACAUACAAACAUAUAACAAUCAGAAGCUUGAGUAAAGGAUAUCAUUUAGAUGUAAUAUACUUACAUUGUUCCCACAACUUGUUCUGUAUUCGCUUCGAGACUCUCUUUUGCAAAAAUCCUAACCAUACCAAAAUCUGAAAUUUUAGGUUUCAUAUCUUCACCUAACAAAACAUUACUGGCUUUCAAGUCUCGAUGAAUAAAAGUUAGUCUUGAGUAUUCUUAGAGGUAUAGAAGCCCUUGAGUUAUCUCUUCAAUGAUACGAACACGUUUUUUCCAAUCCAAAAUAAGUCUUUUGAUGGGAUCUACAACAAAUAUAUAGUUUUGGACAAUAAGUGAUAUGCAAAUGAAUUACAUACACGAUUAAUAUUAACUUGAUUCCAGAACAAACCAAAAAGGUAGCAAUCCAAGCUUUUGUUUGCAUGUACUCGUAGACCAGCAUCCGUUCCUCACUGUCAAUGCAAAAACUAAAACUCUAAUAAGAUUUAAAUGUUAUUCAAUUGAUUAGAACACCGAUUGAAAAGAAGUUCCUUCUAAUCAAUUGAAAACCUAAAUUCUAAUAAGAACUGAUAAAAAAAUCAAUUCGAUGUUAUUCUUUGUGGCUCUGCUUAGAAUACUGAAAAAUCAAGUCGACUUACUUAUUUUUAUAUUGAUCGUUACAAGUCUCUUGAAUUUUUUACCUACUUCAUUAACUUGUUAUUUUGAGUUGUAUCUAACAUGGCUUCACUCUUUUUUUUCUUUACUUUGGCUUGGUUUUCUUUACAACUUGAAAGGAAUUUAGAUCUAUUACAAAUAGAUGUAGGCAAUUAAAAACAAAAAAUUAAUUACUUAAUUAAUUUUCCGGAAGUACUCUUCACUGUUACUGUUCACUAAAAAAUAUUAAUUUUCCAAAAACACAAUAAAAUGCAGAAAAUUAAUGACACAAAAUUUUUUACAUGGUUUGGAUUAAUGAAUCCUACAUCCACGAGGCCACGCCCAGAUGAAAAAAAAAUUCACUAAGUUGAGAUGUUACAACCUAUGGAUUUACCAAACUUAAGACACUCACUUACAGUUUAUCACCAUACAGUUUACUCAACCUUAGACUGAAUUUGCUUCUCUUGAAUAAUCGCUACCCCUCUUGAUUCACGAUCCUCAAGGUACUUCGCAAAGUGAUCAAUAGCAAUUCUUCAAUGUCUAGUGAUCCAAGAUCCACAUAAACUCUCCACAGAGAUGAAAAGAAAAUAAGAAAACAAAUCAACACAACAUGAUGCGCCAAAUCGGGAUUCUCUAGGGAGAAGGCCGAAUUUUGCUUCUCUGCUUUAUGCUCUGUGUUGUGCGAUCAAACUUCAAUUGUGAAAUACAUCUCUUUAUAUAGGCACUAAAAUUUCACCAAAAUAGUAAGUCUUAAAAGACUUGGAUUCUUUUCAAAUAAGAGUUUAUUUCCUCUUAUAAUUCCCAUGAUUCUGAAUAGCAUUAAAUCUGAUUUUUUUGCCUUACUUGUCUCCUAAGAAAUUUUUAGAGCAUUUAAUGACUUCCUGUUUGAACCAACUUCUUGCUCUAAAUAGAUCUCAUGCGCCAAUUAUAGAAUCCCACCAUUAAUUGACUUGCUAAAAUAGACAUCUAAUAAAAUUAGGAGCCAAAAAUUCUUAAUAAAUUGCAAUCUCACUAAAUUAGGGAAUUAAUAAAUUAAUCCCUAUUACAAGAUAUGCAAUAAAUAAACUUCCAAUUUAACUAGACUUGGCAUAAAAUGCCAACUCUAUAAAUAAUGGACUUAACACAACUCAUAAAAAAUUUCUUGUUAAGACUGUAUGAACCAAUUGAACUUCAGAUUCAUACUAGAACUACGAUGAUUCAAUAAGACCUUCAAAUUAAAUCCACAGAUUCCAUGAGUGAGAACCCUUGGAUUACAUUUGUUCAAGUUUAUGCUUUGAGUAAAAUAAAAGUAGAAAUAGGAAUUUGAAAGAAGAAAUUUAGUUAUAAAAAAUUGUCAAAUAAUUAAUUGUUUGGCAUUUAUUUUAUUGGUCCCAACCCAUGUGAUCCACCAAAUGAGACGUUUUAUGUGAUUGUUUGUGCCAUGGUGCACUAGCCUCAUAUAUGUUUGUUUUUUCUUAUGGAUAUAACUGUAUAUGAGUAGCGUUAUGUAGUGCCCCAUAGGGGCUCUUUAAAAUUAUUUUAUGUGCAUUUUAAACAUUCCCUCGUUGUUGAUUUGAAACACCAAAAAUAUCUCUCUUAAAUUUUAAAAAUAUAUAAAAAAAUUAUGAGUUAAAAGAAUGUUGUAUAUCUCUAACCUAACAUAUAGCACACGUAUUGUACACUUUUGCUUUUUUCUUCUCUAAACUUUCACUCCUCUUUUCUUUGAUUCUUCACACUUCACUGAUAUCUCUGAAAAAAUUAAACUGUCUCUAGAAGCUUAUUACUAAUUUUCUCAUCUAAUUAUUUAUAUAAGUACUCUUGAUUGAUUAUCACUUCUUUAUUUUUAUUUUUUUGGGGGGAUUUCUCUUAGAUGAAAGAAUUAAGGUUAUGUUCUAAGAAAUUUUUAACUCCCAUGUUAUAGUUUUGAUAAUGAGAUUAUCCUUGAAUUUUCAACAUAUAAAAGUACUUCGAAACAACUAUUAAUUCGUUGAAUGAAAUAUCCUAAUGAAUUUAAAUUUUGGUACUUAUUUUUUAUUGAACUUUUUCUUUUAAAUUACAUUACUAUUUGAACUUUGUCCUUGUGACAUUAAAUUCUUGAUAGCGCCACUAAAUGUAAGUUUUAAACUCAUGUUUUAAAUUACGUAUCCAAGCUUUCAAUGUGAUCUAAAGAUCUCAUAGCUUCAUUCGAAAUUAAUAAAUGAUCUCUAAGUGUUACGAAAAUGAUAUCAAUGAAAUUACAAACUCUUAAGAGUUUAUAGAACAUUAAUUGAUCCAAGUCCAAUACAAACUGCUUACUAGUACAGCCUCAAGAUCUCCAUUUAUUUUUCAGUAGGCAAAUUAAGCAACUGCAGCAGUCACUAGCAGCUUGCCAAGAGCUAGCAUAGAUCAAUUGUUCAUCUACCAACCAGUUGUGAAAUUUUUGCAUCAUUACUUGAACAUAUUUCUAAUCCAAUCGUGGCUUUAUUUUGUUCAUCUUCAUGAGCUUUCUUCGAGAAAGUUUCAAGCUUCUUUGGAGUCAUUAUCUCGGCUGUGUUCUCGUUUUCGAGCAUCGAAUAAACUUCCAGCAUAGAAGGUCUAUCGUUUGGGUUCUCCUGAACACAUAACAAAGCUAUUUGCAGACACGUCAAUAAUUUCCAUGAGGAAUGCGUAAUCAUCUAGUGAUGGAUCCAUUAACUUCAUGCCUUUCUCAUCCUUCCACAACUUGUAGGACUGAAAACAUGAAAUAUGUUUUUGAGUUACAUUCAAUUAAAUAGCACUAUAAAGUUUUGAUCAAUUGUGCAUUUUAAAGGGGGUUAUGCAGAAACUUACAUAGUGUACAAGGUCUAAAUUUUCAUUAUGACCAUAUUAAAUAAAAAAUCUCCUUCCAUUUAUAAUUUGCAAAAGUAAAAUCUCAAAACUGUAGACAUCAGAUUUAGUAGAGUAGAUGCCUCUUCUACAUACCCAGGAGGGAUGUAGCCGUUGUGGUACUGAGUAAUUACAAACAUCACCGAAAUUGUUUGACCUAAAAGAUUAAGUUGAUUGGUAAAGGUUUAACAAUAAUAUUAAAGACAAGUCGAAGAAAAUAGACAUAUAUAUACUUACUGUGUUUCAACAAUUCGAUUUGUAUUUGCUUCAAGAUCAUCUUUCACAAAAAUUCUAGCCAAGCCAAUAGAUGAUAUUUUAGGUUUCAAAUCUUCAUCCAACAAAAUGUUACUAGCUUUCAAGUCUUGAUGAAUAACUAUUCAUCUAGAAUAUUCUUGAAGAUAGAGAAGCCCUUGAGUAAUUCCUUGAAUGAUAUGAAUGCGUUUUUUCCAAUCCAAAAUAAACCUUCGGAUGGGAUCUACAUAAAAUAUAAGUAUAGUUGGACGGUCUGUAGCAUUAGCAUUUGGAGAUGAGAAAUGCAAAUAAAGGAUUUCGUAGAUGAAGAAUUUCUCGCUGGAAGAAUAAGUUGAAUAAUCUGCAUUUCCUCCACCGAUGGAAAGAAGGGUAGUGAUUGUUGGGUUUUUUGUUUUCACAGUGUGGUUAGAGAAUUGUUCUUUCAUCAUAAGGUGACAAAGAAAGCUUGUAGGACAUUGGAUCGACAUAAGCAAAACCACAAAUGAGGUGAGUGAAGAGAGCACAUAAUUUAUAUCUAAAAUGGGGAAGCCAGGCCUGGUUCCCAAUAACUAGCUCUGAUUAAAGUUUGUGCUUUUGCAGGAAGCGAUUAUGAAAAUAUAAAAAUCUGGAGGACAAGAAUGACAAAUUUGGAUGCCAUUUUGGAAAGCCAGCUGCUUGAAACAUGCCUAGUCUGUAUGUGUUUUUAUACACACACAUAAUGUAGCAGAGAAAUUAUCCUACAUUAACCGAGAUUAGUUAUGGGUCUAAAUAAUAUAUGUUUUAAGCAACCCUCAACCCAUGAGUUAAGUUCGGAAGUUUAUAAACAGUAUUAGAGUCAGAGUUAGGUUAUAUAUGGACAAAUGCGCUUAUAUUACCAAACUAAAAGAUCAGCGUGCAUUUGAUGGAAUGAUAGGAAAAAUAUCCCACCUUAGUAGUUAAGAUUAGUUACUAAGUUAACAAUAUAAGAUUAAAGCAAUCUUCAACUCAUAUAACGCAAGAGUAUGAAUCAAAAUUUAAUAAAACUUGGUCAAUUCGAUAUUUUAUAAAGAUAUACGAGCUACAACUCGAGGUCGCUCAUGAGUGGGGACGAGUUAGAUUAAGGCAAUCUUCAACUCAUAUAACGUUGAUCAUGGACCGAAUCAACAUAGGAAACAAAAGUCGAGGAAGUUGAAUCUUCUGGCCUUCAACAUUGAAAAGGUUGUCUUCAUUCAAUGACGAUCGUCUUGAAGUUCUUAAAUUAAGCUACGACGUUUGCCUCCACUUAGCUUGACUUCUGAAGCUGGAGACUCUUCCUUUUGUAUUGGCUUCGUUUGUACUUAAAUUACCUCGGAGUCUUGGAUGUGUUUCUGAAGCCAUGUCAUUGUCUACGAGUAGAAAUUUUUUUUUUUUUUUUGGGGGAAGAAAGAGGAAGUCUGUCGUUACUUGUUAGGAAAACAUCAUGACAAGAGAAUAGUGAAGAAAAAAAGAGAAGAAAAGAAUAGGAAAAACCAAACUGACAAACACUUAGUUAUCGACCCCUAUGCCACUGGCCUGUAGAACACACUCCCUCAGAAGUGAUUUUAAGUUCUUGUAAUUUUCUGUAUAAUAUGAGAGCAUUUUCCUGUUUAAAGCAGGGGCAGUAACAGUGUCACAAUAGAAAGCCUCCUGAUGGUAAGAUUAACUAGUAUUGUGAUUUUAAUUGGGGGUAAAAAAGUCCCAUACGCUUAUUUCCUUAUAUGAUUUAGUUUCAAGUCAAGACGACCCUCUUCAUUUUAGUAUAAAAGUCUAUACAAAUGUACUUUUUACUCAAUGUUUACGUAGAAACCGUUGGUGGUUCAAUUGUGGGGAAUGGCAAAUGUAAAGAAAUACAACAAUAAUGAUGGAACUUUAUUACAUAAAGUAAUGUGUUUACAACUAACUCUAUAUGUAGAAGAAAAAUAAUAGUAAUAAGUAAACUGCAGAAAAUUUGUGUGCUUCAAGGCACGUUACAAAUGUCGCUUUUCUUAGGACGUUAUUUGCCCCACCAAUUAAGUGAUGCACAUGGGUUAAGCAAAUACGCCUCCAGGAUACAAUAAAGCACUUGUUUGUUUGCUUGCGUUGUGCAUAGACGAAAGCAAACCAGAAUACUCUUGAAUGUUGCAAGUCUGCCAAGAAACAAUAUAUUGUUCCUGCAGAAAACAAUAUAUUAGAUUUUUAAUGCACAAAAGAAAUUGGUAUUUUGUGUUGAAAUUCGUACUAGAAAGGAAUGAUAAGAAAAGAGUGGUGUAUGAUCAUUAAUUUCAUGUCUAAAUGGCUUAAACAUGACCCCUAUUUAUAGAUAUACUUGUGCCCCCUCAUUUGGGUUGUCAUCUUUCAUGAUACCCCUUCAUUCAUGGCCAUUGGAUCUAGAUUUGAUUUUAAUCAAUCGUCCAAAUUGAACCAUCACCAUUUCAAAUGAAAUGUCACUAUGAAAUGAUGCAUCUCUAAGUGAAAUGUUGCCAUGAAAAGUUAUAUCAUUUAGUAAAAAGAUACAUUUUCUAUAAGACACAAUUAAAUGGACAUGUCCUUACAACAAGACAUCAUUUAAUUACACGUCUUUAGUGAAAUGUACAUUUUCUAUAAGGCACAAUUAAUAGGACAUAUCUUUACCAUAAGACACCAUUUAUUUCAUUUAUUGUUAAAAAUUUUCCAACAAUCCCCCACCAUUUUCAAAAUAAAUGAAUUUUGAAAAAUUAUCUUGCGCAGGCUUGGAAAACUUAUGCAUAGAUGAAUGUGUCUUUUGGACUUGAACCUUCACUUAGUGACAAUACAUCAAAGUUAAUCAAGGUGGCAUGGUAGGCAAGCUUUGAACCAACGACCUUAAUUGACUAACCGGAUAUAUCUCACACAUAAGUUUUCAAAUUCUCAAGUAUUCCUUAGCCGACACGUGGAUUGACCCUGUGUCUAUAUCCUGUUUUCAUGAGCGCUUUAGUAACCAACCAAGUUACAUAGGAAGCGGCACCAACUCCUACACUCACAUAGGUAGACUUAUCUGGAAUGUCCCUGUAACUAAAACAUUUAUAAGUCUAUUAAAAGCUAAGCACCUUAACCUUUCCCAUAUGUUACAGGUAUCAAGCACUAACCUUUGGGACGCAUCUAAAAAUAUUAUAGUGCUUGUUAUUACAACAUAUGAUGUACUUUUGCUCAUUGAACCCAAGAUCUUGAUAUUUCAAGUGUUAGGUUGAGUUUCCAUCAUUGGUGAUAAGAUGAUGCUGGUUUCAGUCCCAUCCCCUUAGAAGUUUUUAAUACAAUAUCCAUUGCAAGGCCUUUAGUUAAGGGGUCCGCCAAAUUUUGGCAUGAUUUUACAAAGUCAAUUGUGAUUACUCUAUCUGUAAGUAAUUGUCUUACAUAACUAUGUCUUAGACCAAUGUGCCUAGACUUUCCAUUAUAAAUUUGACUAUAUGCUCUUGAUAAAGUUGCCUCACUAUCAUAGUGAAUAGAUAUAGGAGGCAUUGGUUUAGGCCAGAUAGGAAUUUCUAUAAGGAAAUUCCUUAACCAUUCAGCUUCCUUGCAACAUAAAGCCAAAGCUAUAAAUUUUGCAGCCAUGGUGGAGUCUGCUAUACAAGUUUGCUUCUUUGAGCCCCAUGAAAUAGCUCCUCCACCAAGAUUAAAAAUCCAACCACUUGUGGAUGUAUGAUCAUCUCGAUCAGUAAUCCAACUAGCAUCCGAAAAUCCUUCUAAAACUGAAGGAUAUCUAGUGUAGUAUAUACCAUAAUCCAUUGUAUGUUUUAAAUAUUUUAGAAUUCUGUACACUGCUUGCCAGUGUGCUUGGCUUGGAUUACUAGUAAAUCUACUCAGCUUUCCAACAGCGAAAGCAAUAUCAGGCCUAGUACAAGUCAUCGCAUACAUAAGACACCCAAUAACACGUGCAUAUUCUAAUUGGGAUACUGAUCUGCCAGUGUUAGGAUACAGUCUUAUGUUUGAAUCAAAAGGUGUUGACACAAGCUUACAAUCAUAAUAAUUAAAUUUCUUUAAAAUUUUCUCAAUAUAAUGUGAUUGGGUCAAUAAUAGGCCAUUCUUAUUUUUUAUAAUUUUAAUCCCCAAAAUCACAUCAGCAAGUCUCAUGUCUUUCAUAUCAAAAUUAGAUGACAAUAAUGAUUUAGUGAGUUCAAUGUUCUCACUAUCAGUACAAAAAAUUAACAUGUCAUCUACAUAUAAACAAAUAAUCACACCUUUAUUUCCAUUGAAUCUGCUAUAGACACAUUUAUCAGAUUCAUGAAUAAUAAAUCCAUUUGAGACAAUCACUUUGUCAAAUUUUUCAUGCCACUACUUUGGAGCUUGUUUAAGACCAUAUAAAGACUUGACUAGUUUACAAACUUUAUGUUCUUGUACUGGCAUAACAAACCCUUCUGGUUGUUUCAUGUAAAUUUCCUCAUUUAAUUCUCCAUUUAAGAAAGCCGUUUUUACAUCCAUUUGAUGGAUUUCAAAAUGAUAAAUUGAAGUCAAAGCAAUCAAGACUCUAAUAGUAGCAAUUCUUGCAACAUGUGCAUAAGUAUCGAAAUAAUCAAGGCCUUCUUUUUGUGUAAAGCCUUUUGCUACUAGUCUUGUUUUAAAUCUUUCAAUUGUUCCAUCAACUUUCUUUUUCUUUUUGAAAAUCCAUUUACAACUUAUAGGAUUAUAGUCAGGUGGUAAAUCAACUAAUUUCCAAGUCUGAUUACCCAUAAUAGAGUCAAUUUCAUCAUUAAUGGCCUUUUUUCCAAAAAGCAGCAUCUUGAGACUUUAUUGUCUCUUCAUUUGUGAGGGGAUCAGACUCUAUAGUAGGUGUGAUCAUGGUCUGUUUUGAUUGUGAGUCUCUUGUCCCUUCAACAAAAUGGACUAUAAAAUCUGGUCCAAAGGAUUUUAUAGUCCUUAUUCUUUUACUUGUUCUCAAAUGAUUUUGCUCAUUAUUGGCAUCACGCUUUUGACCAAUUUCUAUUUGUUUAUCAUUCUCUUGAGAAUCAAUACUUUUUGGUAUAGUGAAAAAUCUAUUUUCAUAGAAUAUUGCAUCUCUAGAUUCCACUAUAGUAUUGAUCUCAACAAAGCUAUUAGGUUCUGUUACAAGAAACCUAUAAGCUUUACUAUGCUCAGCAUAUCCUAAGAAUAUGCAUCCAAUGCCCCUUUCUCCUAAUUUCUUUAUCUUAGGUUAUGAUAGCCUUAUAAUGGCUCGACAACCCCAAACUCUUAGAUAAGAAAGAUUAGGCUUUCUCUUUUUCCAUAAUUCAUAUGGGGUCACCUUUGUUUUCUUAUUAGGCACUCUAUUUAAGAUAUAACAUGCAAUUAAAAUAGCUUCACCCCAAAAACAUUUACCAAGCCCAGCAUUAAAAAGCAUAGCAUUAACCAUUUCUAUUAACCAUUUCAUGUACAAUGCCAACAAAUUCACAAAAUUCAGAAAAAGCAUAUUCACCUCCUUUAUCACUUCUAAGGCAUUUAAUUUUAGUGUCACAAAAAUUCUCAACUUUAUUUUUAUAAGUUUUAAAUUUUUCUAACACUUGAUCUUUAGAAUAUAAUAAAUACACAUAGCAAUAUUUUGAAAAAUCAUCAAUAAAUGUUACAAAAUAUUUUUUACCACCUUUAGAAGGAUUACUAUGCAUAUCACACACAUCGCUAUGAAUUAAAUGCAAUAAAGAAGAUGUUUUUUCAAUUUUUAGAAAAUGAGGUCUUGUGAUUUUAGUCUGUACACAUACUUUACAUUUUCCAUGCAUAUCAUUUUCAUCCUUAGGAAUUAACUCUAAAUUAGCCAUAUCAUGCAAUCUUCUAAUAUUCACAUGUCAUAAACGAUUAUGCCACAAAGAUAAUGAAUCAACCAUAUAAACAGAAGAAACAUUCAUAUUAUUGAUAUUGAGUUUAAACAUUCCUUCAUACAUGUAUCAUUUCCCAACAAAGGUACCACUCUUAGAUAAUAUAAAUUUGUUUGACUCAAAAACAAGUUUAAAGCCAAACUUAUUGAGAAGGUUACCAGAUACAAGGUUUUUCCUAACUUCAGGAACAUGAUAAACAUCAGUAAGAGUUAAAGUUUUUCCAGAAGUAAACUCUAGUUGCACAUUGUCUUUUCCUUUAACUAUUGUAGUGGAGGAAUUUCCCAUGUAAAGAACAUUUCCAUCAUCCAUUGCUUUAUAAGAUUUGAAAAGGCUACGAUCUUAGCAUACAUGCUUGGUUGCACCAGAAUCUAUCUACCAUGCAUUAUCAUCUUCAAGAACAUUAAUAUCAGAUAUCAUAGCCAUAAAAUUUGUGUUCGAAACUUCCUUUUGUUUCUUCAAAAGUCGACAAUCUCUUUUGAAGUGGCCAGGUUUUCCGCAAUGGUGGCAUGUACCCUUCUUUUUCUUUUUAUUGUUUUGAUUAUCUUUGGAAUCAAACUUUCUCUUUUGGUUAUUCUUAGGGUGAUUAGAAUGCUUAAACUCCUUCCCUUCCUCUACGACAUUAAUUUUUAAAGGAUGUAGUAGUCUGAUCCUCAAGACUAUUAAGCUUGAGUUCCUCUUCAAUACGAAGACUUGGGCCUAAGCCAUCCAGACUAAUUUCCUCUUUGUUAUGUUUAAGACUUUUCUUAUAGUCUUUCCGAGAGGGAGGAAGUUUAUCAAUAAUUGAAGAGACAAUAAUAGACUCAUCCACUUUCAUGUUAUGUUAGUUGAAUUGAUCAAGAAUAUGCAAAAUCUCAUUAUAUUGUUCAACCACAAGUCUAUUAUCAACCAUUCUAUAAUUAAAAAAUUUAGAAGCCAAUAAUUUCUUACUUGUGGCAUCUUCCAUCAUGUACUUAGCCUCUAAUGAGUCUCAUAUUUCUUUUGCUGUAGGUUUGUUGUGAUAUUGAUCAAACAAAGUAUCAGACAUGGCAUUGCAAAUGUGUCCUUUGCACACGUAGUCAUCUUGCUCCCACUUCUGCCGCACUCUGGUGUCCGCUAAUAUCUCAUCCUCACGUUCUUGAGGCUUUGGUGUUGUGAGAACAUAGACCACAUUGAGACUUGUCAACAAGAAAUGCAAAUUUUUCUGCCAAUGAAUAAAGUUGCCACCAUCGAACCGCUCUAAUUUGACAAAAUCUAUUGCGAAUUGUCGAAGAGAUGAACUUGGUGCCAUUGUUGCUGAAAUAACGUCUUAAGAUUGUUGGUGGUUCAAUUGUGGGGAAUGGCAAAUGUAGAGAAAUACAACAAUAAUGAUGGAACUUUAUUGCGUAAAGUAAUGUGUUUACAACUAACUCUGUAUGUAGAAGAAAAAUAAUAGUAAUAAGUAAACUGCAGAAAAUUUGUGUGCUUCAAGGCACGUUACAAAUGUCGCCUUCCUUAAGACGUUAUUUGCCCCCACCAAUUGAGUGAUGCACAUGGGUUAAGCAAAUACGCCUCCAGGAUACAAUAAAGCACUUGUUUGUUUGCUUGCGUUGUGCAUAGACGAAAGCAAACCAGAAUACUCUUGAAUGUUGCAAGUCUGCCAAGAAACAAUAUAUUGUUUCUGCAUAAAACAAUAUAUUAGAUUUUUAAUGCACAAAAGAAAUUGGUAUUUUGUGUUGAAAUUCGUACUAGAAAGGAAUGAUAAGAAAAGAGUGGUGUAGGAUCAUUAAUUUCAUGUCUAAAUGGCUUAAACAUGACCCCUAUUUAUAGAUAUACUUGUGCCCCCUCAUUUGGGUUGUCAUCUUUCAUGAUACCCCUUCAUUCAUGGCCAUUGGAUCUAGAUUUGAUUUUAAUCAAUCGUCCAAAUUGAACCAUCACCAUUUCAAAUGAAAUGUCACCAUGAAAUGAUGCAUUUCUAAGUGAAAUAUUGCCAUGAAAAGUUAUAUCAUUUAGUAAAAAUAUUCAUUUUCUAUAAGACACAAUUAAAUGGACAUGUCCUUACAACAAGACAUCAUUUAAUUACAUAUGUCUUUAGUGAAAUGUACCUUUUCUAUAAGGCACAAUUAAUAGGACAUAUCUUUACCAUAAGACACCAUUUAUUUCAUUUAUUGUUGAAAAUUUUCCAACAGAAACAAAUGAUUUGCUGAUUUAGUACCACUUUUGUAUACUGGGUGGGAUUUGGCUCCUCCAAAUUUGUAGCCAAUAUUUUACUUUGAUGAGAAAAUCAAAUAAUGUUUGAACAAAUACUUUUUUUUCUAUGUACUUUCUUAAAACGUAUGGAGUGAGUAAAGUACAAAUUGAUUUUUUAGCCCUUUGACUCUUCCAUAUUCAAACUCAAAUUAAUGGUCUGUUAAAUAUUGCCACUUAAAAUCAUUCAGCCAAAUAUUGUAAAAACUAUAAUUUCACAAAGUCAAAGUUUCACUUAUUAUUGAAUUGUAGAGUGUGCUAUCAUUUCCUAGCUAAAAGUUUGUUUAGUUCCAUUGAGUUACAAUCAUUAUUUUAUUUUAUUUAAUUAAUUAAAGUGAAUUUAUUAUGUAUAUAUUCUAUUUAUGUAAAAUUUUAAAAUUCAAGCUGAAUUGAAUUGUACUAAAUUUUUUAUAAUUUUUUGUCACACCUGCAUUUCUAACAGUUUAGUAUACAUAUUGAUAGCACAUAGUAUAUAGGAAAGAGAGAUUGAUUUCGAGUGCUACAAGAUUUUUAGGAUUGCAUGCGCAAGGGUUUAAAAACAAAGUGAGCAUUUGAUUACACUAAGCGAAGGUGCAUUUUUAUGAUGAAAUAAAAACUGGUUGUAUAAAUGGCUCCAUAAUUAGUGUACUUAACAUUCAUCUAGCUAUCACUUCCGAAAAUUAUAUCAGAAGCCGAACACAUUUCCAACUGUAUUUUAGAUAAUAGUUCAAUCCCAAUUUCGUCAACUUGUUUUAGAAAGCAGGCUUCUUGGGAGAAUUUAUAUUUGUGGUUUCAUUCUUGAGCAUUGACGAAACUUCCAACCUUGAAGGUCUAUCAUUUGGAUUCUCCUGGACACACAACAAAGCUAUAUCCAGACGUCUCAUUAAUUUACAAGUGAAAUUUGUAUCAUCUCGUGAUGAAUCCACAAACUCCAUGCCCUUGCCACAUUUCCACAACUCAUAUGCCUGAAAUUAUCAAGUAUUAUCUUGCUACAUAUUUUAUAGUACUUAGUUAGGUGCAUAUAUAUAUAUAUAUAUAUAUAGACACACACACACACACACACACAGAGGGUUACUAUAGCCAAAGAAACUUACAUGCUCUAGAAAACUUAAAUUUUCAUUGAUGCCACAUAACAUCAAAAGACUUUUCCCAGUUAUCAUUCGUAAAAGUAAGACUUCAAAGCUAAAAAUGUCUGAUUCGGUAGAGUAAACACCUCUAUGAGUGUAUUUAGGAGGAAUAUAACCUCUACAUUUGAAAAUAACCAACACUCUUUCAGUAUGUCUAUAUAUAUAUAUAAUCAGCUUCAGGUCUGGAAUUUAAAUUUGAAAAGAGUCUACAAUGUUGUAAAUUGCAUUUAUCACUGUUUUACAAUGGUAUAAAUUUAAUUAUAAAUGACUGUCAAAAAAUUAAUAGAUGGUUAUUAUUUAUGAUUAUAAUUAGAACAUUAAAAUUCAAGUCGACUCAUUUAUCUUUACAUUGAUUUUAUUCUUUGUGGUUAUACUUAGAAUAUUAAAUAAUUAAGUCGACUGGUUUAUCUUUAUGUUGAUCAUUACAAGCCUCUUGAAUCUUUUAUUUACCUAUAUUUUCUUUGAUCUGUUAUUUUGAGUUGUAUGAAAUGUAGCUUUACUCCUGUUUUCUUUACUUUACUUUGGUUUUCUUUAUUGUUGAUAGGAAUUUUCUUGUUAAAACUAUAUGAAUAAUUGAAAUUUUAAAUUCAUACUACAACCAUGAUGAUUUAAUAAAACCUUCAAACUAAAUCCACAUAUUCCAUGAGUAAGAACCCUAAGAUCACAUUUGUUCAAGUUUAUGCUUUAAGUAAAAUAAAAGUAGAAAUGAGAAUUUUAAAGAAGAAAUUCAGUUAUAAAUAAUUGUCAAAUAAUUAAGGGAAAAUGACAAACACACCCCCAACGUUUAGGCAAAGGAACAAAAACCCCUAAUGUUUUAAAAAAAACAUUUACACCCCAAUUUAUUAUAAUUUUACCAUUAUACCCUUCUAGCAUAUAAAAAAAAAUAGAUUAUCCAAUUUGUCUAUAUAUUGUUAAUAAAAUUAUAAAUAGACAAAUUGGAUAUUAUAAAAAAAAUUAUAAAUAUACCCUCAUUGUCCAAUUCCUCUAUUUAAAUUUGUAUCAAUAACCAAUUUUCAAAAAAGACAUUUAUAGACCUAAAAAAAUUGUAAAUAAAUUAUAAUUUUAAAAAUAAAAUUAAUUAUUAAUAACUAAUUUUAUUUAAACUUUAAACUUGUAUAUUUAACAAUUCUCCACAUGUCAAUCAUUUAAACUUGUACAUUUAUAACCAAUUUUCUAUGUUAUUUAUUAUGGUAUUAAUAACCAAUUUUAUUACCAACAAAGUGUUGGCUCCACUGGCAAUGGAGUCCCCUUAAGUGGCUUGACUGGGUUUGCUCCCCAGUUCAAGUCGCAGGGAAAUCCCCUUUGUUGGGAGAACCUGUGCCUUUCGGUUCGAGCGGGGAUUUCUAGUCUGGGUUGUGGUACGGGUUUAAAGGUGCCUCCCACAGUUGGGGCCCUCCCCAAGAUACCUCGUGGUCAAAACCAAAAAAAAAAAAAAACCAAUUUUAUUUUAAAAAUUAUAAUUUUUUUAUAAUUUUUUUUUAAGUGUGUAGAUGUCUUUUUUGAAAAUUGGUUAUUAAUAAAAAUUUAAAUAAAGGAAUGAGGUAAUGAAGAUAUAUUUAUAAUUUUAUUAAUAAUAUAUAGACAAAUUAGAUAAUCUAAUAAUUUUUUUUAUAUGCUAGAAGGGUAUAAUGAUAAAAUUAUAAUAAAUUGGAGGUGUAAAUGUCUUUUUUGAAAUAUUAGGAAAAUUUUUGUCCCUUUACUUAAACGUUAGAGGUGUGUUUGUCAUUUUCCCAAUAAUUAAUUGUUCAACAUUUAUUUUAUAGAUUCCACUGUUGGGACUCCAUGUGAUCUGCCAACUGGCAGGCCUUAUGUGGUUAGGUGAACCACGGUGUGCCUGCCCCAUAUAAGUUCCUCUCUUCUCAUAGAUAUAACUAUCAACGGCGCUAUGUCAUGUCCAACAAGGGCUCUUCGAAACUUUUUAUGUGAAUUUUAAACAUUACCCCAUUACGCUUUUGAAACACCAAAACUACCUCUCUUAAUUUUUUUUUUUAAAAAAUACAUAUUAAAAGAAUGUUUUAUGUCUUUAGCUUAACAGUUAGCACACGUAUUGUACUCUUGACAUUUUUCUUCUGUAAAUCUUCACUUCUUUUUUCUUUGAUUCUUCACACUUCACUGCUCUUUUAUCUCUAAAAUAUUAAAUUGUCCGUCAAAGCUUACUAUUUAAUUUACUGAUCUAAUUAUUUAGCUCUAAAUAUUUAGAUACGUUUUCUUAAUUAACUAUCACUUCUUUAAUUUUUUUGGUGAUUUCUCUUAGAUGAAAGAAUUAAGGUUAUGUCCUAGGAAAAUAUUAACUCUCAUAUUAUAGUGUUGAUAAUGAGGUUAUCCUUGAAUUUUUAACACAUGAAAACACAUUGAGGUAACUAUAAAUUCAUUGAAGGAAAUAUUUUAAUAAAUUUAGAUUUUGGUACAUAUUAUUUGUUGAAUUUUUUUUCUUUCCAAAUUGAACGCAGCCCUUAUGACAUUCAAUUCGUGAUAGUGCCACUAAAUCUAAAGUGUCGAACUAGAUCAUAUUUCUCCCUUAUGCAAACUCCAUCGUUUAUUUAAAUUUCAAUUUUGUGGCCUAUUUUCGAGUUUUCUAGUUUCACAGAGGGCAUCUUGGAUUUCUCUACGCGGUCUAUAGUCUCUAGUCCAAAUGAAGAAAUCGAAUUCACCAUGUACAUUAGUGUUUUUUUUUUUUGGGGGGGGGGGGGGGGGUUGGAAUUUUUUUAUUGGCACGGGAAGAAAGCUCUUCGGCACUACUCGGAAGAAGAAUAUGAGCAACACAUGGUCCAAUUCGCAUUGUAUGGAAGUAAAACCGAAGCAUUAGACCAAAAGCAAACCUUAUUCAUAUUUUUAGUUACUGAUAACAAUUUUUUUCCCCUCUUAUUAUCAUCUUAAUUAAGAAAUAUAGUAAUUCGUUAACUUUUUGGGAAAUUAAAAAGGAUGGCAAUAUACAAUAUUCUUGUGUUGAUGACCUUAAAAGCUAAUUCCCUUGAAACAGGAAAACUGGUAUCGUUUUUCAAAGCACAUAAAUGAUAUAUCCCAUUGAUCGAAAGAUUUCAUAGCCACACUCAAAAUUAAUAAAUGAUCCCUAAGAAUUACGAAAAUGAUAUAUGUCAUGACCCAACUUAGACCUGGCAAGAUAUUGUCCGUUUUGGGCCUUAACAAGGCCCGCACGGAUUUGUUCUUGGGGCGCCCAUACACCCCAAAACGCGUCUUGCCAAUUAAGGUGUGGAUCACCCUUUAUAAACCCAACAUCUCUCCCGUGCUUUGCCGAUGUGGGAUUCGCCUAGGGUGUUACAUACACCCCCCUUAGGGACUCAGCGUCCUCGCUGAGGUUUGCCCCACCAUCGCUCAAGAGGACACGCGGAGCCGCUCUGAUACCAUAAUGUCAUGACCCAACCCAGACCUGGCAAGAUAUUGUCCGCUUUGGGCCUUAACAAGGCCCGCAUGGAUUUGUUCUUGGGGCGUCCAUACACCCCAAAACGCGUCUUGCCAAUUAAGGUGUGGAUCACCCCUUAUAAACUCAACAUCUCUCCCGUGCUUUGCCGAUGUGGGAUUCGCCUAGGGUGUUACAUACACCCCCCCCUUAGGGACUCAGCGUCCUCGCUGAGGUUUGCCCCACCAUCGCUCAAGAGGACAUGCAGAGCCGCUCUGAUACCAUAAUGUCAUGACCCAACCCAGACCUGACAAGAUAUUGUCCGCUUUGGACCUUAACAAGGCCCGCACGGAUUUGUUCUUGGGGCGCCCAUACACCCCAAAACGCGUCUUGCCAAUUAAGGUGUGGAUCACCCCUUAUAAACCCAACAUCUCUCCCGUGCUUUGCCGAUGUGGGAUUCGCCUAGGGUGUUACAAUAUCAAUGAAAUUACAAACUCUUCAAGAGUUUAUAGAACAUUAAUUGAUCCAAAGCCAAUACAAACUGCUUACUAGUACAACAUCAAGAGAGCCAUUUAUUUUUUCAGUAGGCAAAUUAAACAACUGCAGCAGUCACUAGAGAGCUAGUAUAGACCAAUUGUUCAUCUACCAACCAAUUGUGAAAUUGUUACAUCAUUACUUGAACAUAUUUCCGAUCCAAUCGUGGCUUUAUUUUGUUCGUCUUCAUAAGCUUUGUUUGAGAAAUCGGAGUCCAUUCGAUGAGUCUAUCAGCAUUCUUUAACUAAUUAUUAGAUUAAAUGUAUAAAUUUAAAACUAGUAAAAGUUUAGAAUAUGAAAGAACCUUGAUUCAUUCAAGAAAUAAUUAAAAUUUUAAUCCUUUUCAAACUGGUUAAUAUUAACCUUAUCAUUAUAAGAAAACACAAUUUAAAAGAAAAAAAAAAUCUCACAAAGUUGGUGUGUGGAAUAGUCAAUACGUUGUGUCCUUGAUUUUUUACAAACUCUUAAGAGUCUAUAGAUGUAGUUAGUGAUAUUACAUUACAUUAAUUGAUCCAAAUCCAAUACAAACUGCUUACCAGUACAGCCUCAAGAGAGUAAUUUAUUAUUCAAUUGGCAAAUUAAACAACUGUAGUAGUCACUAGCAGCUUGCCAAGAGCUAGCGUAGAUCAAUUGUUCAUCUACCAACCAAUUGUGAAAUUGUUACAUCAUUACUUGAACAAAUUUCCAAUCCAAUCGUGGCUUUCCUUUGUUCAUCUUCGUAAGCUUGCUUUGAGAAAGUUGCAGGCUUCUUUGGAGUCAUUAUAUCAGCCGUGCUCUCAUUUUCGAGCAUCGAAGAAACUUCCAGCAUAGAAGGUCUAUCGUCUGGGUUCUCCUGAACACACAACAGAGCUAUUUGCAGACAUGUUAGCAAUUUCCACGAGGAAUGCGUAUCAUCUAGUGAUGUAUCCAUUAACCCCAUGCCUUUCCCAUCUUUCCACAGCUCAUAAGCCUGUAAAUAUCGAAUAUUUUAUUGAGUUACAUUCAAUUAAUUAGCACUAUAAAGUUUUGAUCCAGUGUGCAUUAUAAAGGGGGUUAUGAAGAUGUUGGGGAAAAAUCAGGUUUUUAAAUUUAUAUAAAACCUUUUGAAGAUCGCUCUCAUAUAAUAUAUAAGAAUUCGUAUUCUAGAAAUCGUACCUUGUAAAUCUGAGUUUGCUUUUUCCGCUGAAGUGAUUUAGGCUCCUAGAUCACGAUCCGCCACCACCACUCCUGUUAGAUCACGAUCCGUCACCACCACGCUUGUUAGAUCACGAACUGUCUCCAAUGAUCUUCCAGGUUAUGACUCAGGUUCGAUCUGCACUUGACGUGUGGGCGCCUUUAUCACUACCAAAGCAACUAGCACGAGAAAAUUUUUCUCUCAACAAUGGAGAGAAAAAUCUUAUUCUCUGAUUUGUAUAAAGUGGCUUCCCCUCUUCCUUUUUGGGAAAAUAAGCCUUAUAUAUCUCCCUUUAGUGAAAACCCUAGGCUCCAAGGAUUCCCCCAAAAUAAAACUCACGUUACUUUUCAUUUAAUAGGGGACCCACCAUGUAAAAUAACAUAAGGCCCCUUACACAUAAGCUUAUUAAAUGGAGCCUCCCACUAAAUGAUAUAUUUAGGCUUUUGACCCAAAUAGCUAGUUAUCUUGCUUAUUAGUCCAGCAGUGGUGCAAUCAAUUAAAUGAGCUAACCCGGGGAUCAUUUGGGAACAUACAAUAGUGGCUACAAUAAUUAGGCAUGUAAUUAAACUAGCCCAAUUAUUUAAUUCCAAAUCUACUCCACUAAAAGAUUGGAACUGACUUCCAUAAUUGUAUGCUCGAAUAAUAAUUCGUCCCAAGCCACAUUGAUUUCUUUACUGCACAAUCCUUUGUACCACAUCGUUAAUUAAAUUGAUAUCUCAACUGUCCAAUCAAUUUAAUAACAUCUUAUUCCUUGAUCCUUACUGGUUUUCUCUAAUGAUCAUUUUCAACAUACUAAAUAUGUUGACACACUCUGGCCAGAGAAUUCUAUGAUCAAGUACCGAAAACCUAUCAAGAGAUGUGUUGUACAAAUUCUAUAUUGUUAAUCCAUAACUCCAAUACUCAUAAUUGCUCCCACCAAGAUACCGGGUAAUCUUGACCACAAGGAUGUGUCGUGCCCAUUGGUAACUCAAAUGAAAUAACAAUCACAAUCAUGAAAUCAUAAUUAACUCAAGAUUAAGAUUACAGUAAAAUCAACGCCUAUGAGAUUUAAUAAGUCUGACAGUUAUUACAAAGUUAAUUAAAUCUCAUAUGUGAUCCUGUUCAAUGUAGUCGUACUACAUCAAUAAAUUCAUACAUGAUUAAGACAAAUCAUUCAAUGAAUUUAUUACAGUCUAUACCUAAAUAAAGUGCCCAACUUUAUUUAUCAACUGCGAACUAAAUUUAUUUAAUCAUAAGAUAACUUGUAUUUAUGUCUUCUGUGAAUCCACAUGGUGAUCACAUAAAUACAUAUAAUAUGAUUAAAUGGACUUUAAUACAAAUAUUAAUGCAAUUAAGAUAUUUGAAUAAAAUACCUCAUUUAUUUUAUUAAUCAGAAAAAUUGUUUAUUACAAUUAAAUAAACACAUAUGCUUUUAAAGAGCAUAUUUUCCCAACAAUCUCCCACUAGCUCUCAAAGCAUAUCUGGCAUAUUGCACAUGCUCUAGGGCUCUAAGUGCAGGUUAUAAAGGUUUCCCACUAAUGGCCAUUGUAAUAAGAUCUGCCAUUUAGCAUCUAAUGCCAUUUGGGGUACUGUCAUAUAACCUUUCUACACUAUUCCCUUAUAAGAUGAUACUUCCUUUCAAUAUGUUUUGUUUCUUGUGGUUCCUUGGUUCCUUAGAUUGAGCUACCGCACCACCAUUAUCACAAAAUAGUUUAAGGGGUGCAGUUACAACAGGUACCACCUCAAGAUUUCGUAGGAACUUGCAGAGCCAUAUAGCUUCUUUUGCAGCUUCAGAUGUAGCCACAUAUUCAGCUUUAGUUGUUGAGUCUGUGAUACAAGAUUGUUUCACUCUCAUCCAACUAGUAGCUCCACUUCCCAAUGUAAACACAUAGCCGGAAGUUGAUUUUCUAAAAUCCUUAUCUGACAAAAAAUCAGAAUUAUUAUAACCCACUAGAAUAAGUUCAUCACCAGAAUACACAAGCAUAUAAUUUUAAGUUCUUUUCAGAUACUUCAUUAUAUGCUUGACCGCAGUCCAGUGUUCAGGUCCAGGAUUAGAUUGAUAUCUACUAACCAUCCCUCCCGCAAAACAGAUGUCUGGCCUAGUGCAAAGCAUGGCAUUCAUGAGACUUCCCACAGCUUCUGCAUAGGGAACUCGUCUCAUUCUCUCUAUCUCUUCAGAUGUUUUAGGUGAUUGAUCCUUAGAGAAUGUAAUUCCAUGUCUGAAUGGUAAUAAACCAGUCUUGGAAUUUUCCAUACUAAAUCUAGCCAAUAUCUUAUCGAUAUAGACCGCUUGAGACAAGGCUAAAGUUUUAUUCUUCCGGUCUCAUAGUAACUUGAUACCAAGAAUAUAACUUGUCUCUCCCAGGUCUUUCAUAUCAAAUUGUUUUGCUAACCAAAUCUUUAUUGUAGUCAAUACUCCUAUAUCGUUUCCAAUCAGGAGAAUAUUGUCUACACAAAGAACUAGGAAGGCUACAAAUUUUCCCUGAAUUUUCUUGUACACACAUGGUUCAUCAAUGUUCUGAAUGAAUCCAAGUGAUUUAAUCGCUUGAUCAAAUCUGAUGUUCCAUGACUGGGAUGCUUGCUUCAAUCCAUAAAUAGAUCUCUGCAACUUACAUACCAUGUGUUCUUGGCCUUUUUUGUAUAAAUCCAUCUGGUUGCUGUAUGUAGAUGUUUUCUUCAAGAUGCCUGUUAAGAAAGGCAGUCUUGACAUCCAUUUGCCAAAUUUCAUAAUCUAGCACUGCAGCAAUGGAGAGCAGAAUCCUGAUGGAUUUAAGCAUAGCAACCGGAGAAAAGGUUUCCUCAUAAUUGAUUCCUUCUUUCUGAGUAAACCCUUCGGCUACUAAUCUUGCUUUAAAUGUUUCCACCCUUCCGUCUACUCCUCUUUUUCUCUUGUAGAUCCACUUGCACCCUAUAGGUUUUACCCCAUUUGGUGCCUCUACAAGUUCCCAGACUUUAUUGGAAUACAUAGAUUCCAUUUCUUGAUUCAUGGCCUUUUUCAAAAUUCAUCAUCUCUAUCUAUUAGAGCUUCGUUGUAACUAGUGGGAUCUUGUACAUGUUCAUCUGAGAUAGCCUUAUAGGUUUCUCCCAAAAACAUGUAUCUUGCAGGUAACCUAGUUACCCUCCCACUACGACGAGGUUCUAAAAGUGAUGAUUGUUCAAGGAUAAUCCUGUGCUGAUCAGCUGGUUGUUGCUGUUCUUCCUGUUCUAUAACAGGUGUUGAAAGCUGAGCAUCAACCUGAUCUCUUUUAUUUCUCUAGUUUUACCUUACUCUUAGGUUAUAAGUCAUUAUAUAGUCUUCCUCAAAGAAAGUAAAAAAUAUUUCUAUAAAUACAUUCCUAUCUUGAGGACUAUAAUUCAGACUUUCCCUUAUUCCUUUAAGAUACCUAAAACAUGCAAGCUUCUGAACACGAAUCCAUCUUCUCUAUCUCUGAUUCUAGUAGAAAUACUAGUAAACUCCAAAUACGAAUGUGUCUCAAACCAUGUUUGUGACUUUUUCAUAAUUUCUUGGAGUAGUGGACACCGAGAUAGAUGAAACUAAGUUCAAUAAACUUUGUAGUUUCAAAUACUAGUAUCUGGAAUCAAAAAGGUAAAUGAUAAACCACUUAGUAUAUAUCUUGUCUUAUCCAAAAGAAUCUUGUUUCUCCAUUUAAUUACACUAUUGUAUCAUAGUGUUCAUUGACAACCAAAUAGUGCUUGAAUUCUCCAUAGAGAUAUUCUUUGUUUCGAUCAUAUCGAAAUUCUUUUAUGUUCCUGUCUAAUUGCUUCUGUCUUAUUCACGUACUCUUUUGAAUUUCAAAAGCAAUGGAAUCAUGACUCAUUUAGACAAACAUAAAAUGAAUAUUCAUCAACUAGAUUGAUAGAAUACUCAUAACCUCUUAUAACAUGUAAACUGAUUAGUCCGUAUACAUUUGUAUGCGCUAAAUCAUCAAAUACAAUGUUAUGCUUUUAGCUCAUAAAGAGUAUCCUUGUCAUAUUACUUUUCUAAAUAAGAUUUAUAGAGUUACAAUGAUCAAUCUUAAUAGGCCAACAAGUCUAUCAUUAAUCAUUUUCUUAAAAUCUUAUUAUAGUUUAUAUGACUUAAGCAUAACUAUCAGAGGUGAUUUUUGGUUAGAAGAAACAUUUCUUUUCUUAGAUAAAUGCAUAUACUUUUAAUCAUUAUAUCUUACUUUGAAUAGAUCAAUGUACUUUUAUGAUAUAAAUUGUCUUUAUAAAUAACCAAAAUAAGUAAUAAACAGAGGAUCCAAAAAUAACAGUGUACUCCUGUUUAUUAAAACAAGCCACUGAAAUUAAAUUCCUCUAAUAUUUGGAAAAAUAAAGACAAAUAUCAAAACUAAAGUCUUGUAAAAUUGAUCUAGUCUUUCAAUUGAUAUAAACUAGCACAUCCUCAACUGCUAUUUGAAGCUUUCUUCACUUAAUCUCUUGGUUUCCUGAAAACCAAAUAAAUGAAUUACAAAUAAGAUUAGUUAUCUCAGAAUUCAUUAUUGUAUGAAUCAAUAGAAAUCUGAACUAAUUAGGAAGCUUAAAGAUUUCCUAUACCUGAUUUUAAUAAUCUUAGGACAAUCUUUCUUCCAGUGACCCUUCUGUCCACAUUUGUAACACUUGCCUUUUGGCUUGCCACUUCUUUUAAUGGACAGUUUGCCGAUCCCAACUCUUGCUUGCUCAUUCUUGUCUUUUGACUUAAGCCUUGAAGAGAAUCCUUUUUCAGGAAGUUUUCUGCUAUGAUAAAAUUCUUCUAUAGCAUUAAUUCAAUUAAGGUCAUAUCUUUAUUGUUUAAGAUAUAGCUGACCUUAAACUCUUUGAAUGUAUCAGGUAAAGAUUCAGUAAAGAUUCAAUCACCAUGUUAAUCUUUGAUUUAUCAUUGAUUUGAACACCAUGAAUCUCUACCUCAUUCAAAUAGUCCAUCAUUACGAACUUUUGUGCCCUCUUCCAUCUGAGUAUCCGUAAUACGUUUCAAUGCUGCUUCUCUGGCAAAAUGGGUAUUUUUUCCAAACAUCUGAUGAAGACUAGCCAUUAUUUCAGUAGCUGUUUCCAUGCUCCGAUGUUUCUUAUGCAGUUCCACAGAAAUCGAAGCCAAUAUAUAGCGCUUAGCCAUUUUGUUAGCUUCGCACCAUUUCUCAUAAGGCUCCCUCUGAUUUCUAUAAUCGUAUAACGAUGGUUCAGGAGGGCAAGGCUGGGUCAACACAUAUUUGCUUCCCUUAGCAGUGAGAAUAUUAAAUAGAUUGCGUUUCCAAUCUAAAUAAUUUUCGCCAGUGAGUUCAUUUUUAACAAGGAUAAAUAAUAAUGGGUUGAUGGAAGACAUUUUCUGAAAAAACAAAAUACACAUGCAUAAAUACUUUGAAACAAUAUUCACAAUAAAUGACAAAAAUGCAAAAAACCAUAAAUGCAUUUUAAUUUAUUGUAACGAUAAUCUAGUACCGCUUUGACAAGCUAUCCGUUGGGGAAGUCAUGUCUACACUUACUAGACCCAAUUAUCCAUUGGAUUAUUUACUUUCAUGUAGAGACAUGAUAAAUAAUUAUCGUUAUCCCUUUGGACCUAAAUUUGUUAACAGAGCUUCGUUGGGAAGGUUAAUAACAAACUUUAGUUGAGUGUAUAACCAUUGUUUCAAUCUACGUAUUUUUCAUAUCAAUAGUCACCGUUGGGGUGAACAAUCGAUUGAAAAAUAUUUCAAUUUUAUCUUUGAAGAAGUUCAUCAAAUAAAAUAUCUAAUAUAUAUACCCUCCGAAGGGAGCAUCACCGUAUCAUGAAGUCGAGGUAUAUAUAUAAUUUUAUUAUUGAACUAACAAUGGAGCCCGUGGGAAAAUUAUCUUGAAUUUUCCCUCUCCCACUCAAUAUUUUAAAAUUGGUUUUUCCUUUUUAAAACAUACAUAUUGUUAAUUGCAUGCUUCCUAUAAUAUCAUCUAGAUGAUAUCAAAUAUUAUUAAGCAUAUACAAAUUUCAAACAAUAUAAUGAAAUUCAUUAUUAAUGAAUGACAUGUAUCAUUAUGCAUAGAGUGGCACUACCUAUUCUAUAUGACAUGUUAUCAUGGCAUGUUAUCAUCCAAAACAUAACAUAUAGAAAAACUAUUAAAUAAUCUUAAUUCAUGGCUUUCCUAAUAAUGAAAAAUACAUUAACCCUAAGCCUAAUCUUCAUUGGGCUUCUUGUCAAUGUCCAUCUUCCAUAAGCUUGUUUUUGUUAAUGGACUAGGGGAAAUUGGGCUUUUAAAUUUAUAAUUGGUCCAAUUUUUAAUUUUAAAAAGAAAUAAAUAAAUAAAUAAAUAAUUUUAUUAAAAUAAAACUUUUGGACCAAAAAUAGAUUUAAUGUGUUCAAUUUUAUCUAUGCAUUAUAAUCCAUUAAACCCAAUUGAAAUUGGGCCUAAAGCUAGGAUUCACAAAGCCCAAAACUGUUUUUGGACUUAAAUGCAAAAAACUUAAACGUGUCUACCCAAAAGAAAAAAUUAUGGAGCCAUAGGGACCUCAAUGAUAAAAACCAUGAAACCCUAAAUCCAUAUUUUUCUUUCUCUCUUCCCCAGCCGCCAUCUCCAAAAACCUCCACCACUGUUCAGAUGCCAGCCGACCUCCGACGCAUCUCCGACAUCGAACCACCUGCCACCGCGUCGCCGGAAACGCAUCAAACUCGCGCGCGCUGCUGGCCACGCUGGCCCCGCGCGCUGUUUGCUGCGCGAGCAGCCUGUGCCAUCGCGUGCUGCGCGCACAAGCCACGCUUCCCGCGCGCGCUGGCUGCUGCGCGCUGCUGCUGCGUGCACGCUUGCGUUGCAGCGCGCGCUGCUGGCAGCAUGUGCUGCUGGCCGCGCGCUGCUCGCGCAGCAGCGUGUGCUGCUGGCCCCUCGUUGCUGAAAUUUCCGGCCUCGAUUGUUUGCGCUCGUUUUCCAGUGAUGAUGCUUCGGUGAUUUACAAAUUUUCAACGCAAAUUUUGGCUUACAAAAUUUCAAUUACAGUAAAAUAAAUCAAGAGGGAAUUAUGGUGAUAAAAAACCACCCCUCUUGUUACAGAUCCAAAGAAAAAAUACAUCGGAAAAUCUAACCAUGAAUUAAGACAAACCAUAACAUGCUUUAUUCAUAUAUUAAACAAAUAAUAUAUAUCUGAAUAAAUUGUGCCACUCUAAUACAUAAAUUUCAAGAAUGAUUUCAUACAAUAUUCUUAUAUAUUAAUAUGAGAUGGCUCUGAUACCAAUUGUUGGGGAAAAAUCAGGUUUUUAAAUUUAUAUAAAACCUUUUGAAGAUCGCUCUCAUAUAAUAUAUAAGAAUUCGUAUUCUAGAAAUCGUACCUUGUAAAUCUGAGUUUGCUUUUUCCGCUGAAGUGAUUUAGGCUCCUAGAUCACGAUCCGCCACCACCACUCCUGUUAGAUCACGAUCCGUCACCACCACGCUUGUUAGAUCACGAACUGUCUCCAAUGAUCUUCCAGGUUAUGACUCAGGUUCGAUCUGCACUUGACGUGUGGGCGCCUUUAUCACUACCAAAGCAACUAGCACGAGAAAAUUUUUCUCUCAACAAUGGAGAGAAAAAUCUUAUUCUCUGAUUUGUAUAAAGUGGCUUCCCCUCUUCCUUUUUGGGAAAAUAAGCCUUAUAUAUCUCCCUUUAGUGAAAACCCUAGGCUCCAAGGAUUCCCCCAAAAUAAAACUCACGUUACUUUUCAUUUAAUAGGGGACCCACCAUGUAAAAUAACAUAAGGCCCCUUACACAUAAGCUUAUUAAAUGGAGCCUCCCACUAAAUGAUAUAUUUAGGCUUUUGACCCAAAUAGCUAGUUAUCUUGCUUAUUAGUCCAGCAGUGGUGCAAUCAAUUAAAUGAGCUAACCCGGGGAUCAUUUGGGAACAUACAAUAGUGGCUACAAUAAUUAGGCAUGUAAUUAAACUAGCCCAAUUAUUUAAUUCCAAAUCUACUCCACUAAAAGAUUGGAACUGACUUCCAUAAUUGUAUGCUCGAAUAAUAAUUCGUCCCAAGCCACAUUGAUUUCUUUACUGCACAAUCCUUUGUACCACAUCGUUAAUUAAAUUGAUAUCUCAACUGUCCAAUCAAUUUAAUAACAUCUUAUUCCUUGAUCCUUACUGGUUUUCUCUAAUGAUCAUUUUCAACAUACUAAAUAUGUUGACACACUCUGGCCAGAGAAUUCUAUGAUCAAGUACCGAAAACCUAUCAAGAGAUGUGUUGUACAAAUUCUAUAUUGUUAAUCCAUAACUCCAAUACUCAUAAUUGCUCCCACCAAGAUACCGGGUAAUCUUGACCACAAGGAUGUGUCGUGCCCAUUGGUAACUCAAAUGAAAUAACAAUCACAAUCAUGAAAUCAUAAUUAACUCAAGAUUAAGAUUACAGUAAAAUCAACGCCUAUGAGAUUUAAUAAGUCUGACAGUUAUUACAAAGUUAAUUAAAUCUCAUAUGUGAUCCUGUUCAAUGUAGUCGUACUACAUCAAUAAAUUCAUACAUGAUUAAGACAAAUCAUUCAAUGAAUUUAUUACAGUCUAUACCUAAAUAAAGUGCCCAACUUUAUUUAUCAACUGCGAACUAAAUUUAUUUAAUCAUAAGAUAACUUGUAUUUAUGUCUUCUGUGAAUCCACAUGGUGAUCACAUAAAUACAUAUAAUAUGAUUAAAUGGACUUUAAUACAAAUAUUAAUGCAAUUAAGAUAUUUGAAUAAAAUACCUCAUUUAUUUUAUUAAUCAGAAAAAUUGUUUAUUACAAUUAAAUAAACACAUAUGCUUUUAAAGAGCAUAUUUUCCCAACAUAAGAAACUUACAUACUGUACAAGGCUUAAAUUUUCAUUCUGGCCAGAUUGAACGAACAAUCUUCUUCCACUUAUAAUUUGCAAAAGUAAAACCCCAAAACUGUAGACAUCGGAUUUGGUGGAGUAGAUGCCUCUCGUAACAUACUCAGGAGGGAUAUAGCCACUGUUGUACCAAGUAAUUACAAAUGUCAGUGAAAUUGUCUGACGUAAAAGGUUAAGCUGAUUGGUAAAGGCUCAACAAUAGCAUUAAAGAUAAGUCGAAAAAUAGACGUAUGUACACUUACUGUGUUCCAACAAUUCGACUGGUGUUUGCUUCAAGGUCGUCUUUCACAAAAAUUCUAGCUAAGCCAAAAUCUGAUAUUUUAGGCUUCAUAUCUUCAUCCAAUAAAACGUUACUAGCUUUCAAAUCUCGAUGAAUAAUUGUUAAUCUAGAAUAUUCUUGAAGAUAGAGAAGCCCUUGAGUUAUUCCUUGAAUGAUAUGAAUGCGUUUUUUCCAAUCUAAAAUAAACCUUCGGAUGGGAUCUACAUCAAAUAUAAGUAUAGUUGGACGGUCGGUAGCAUUAGCAUUUGGAGAUGAGAAAGCAAAUGGAGGCACAUAAAUUAAAAAUUAAGCAAUUAAGCUCAUACCAAAAAGGAAAUAGUCCAAGCUUCGUCUUGGCAUGUACUCAUAGAUCAGCAUUUGUUCUUCUCUGUCAAUGCAAAAACCUAAAACCCUAAUAAGAUUUACAUGUUGGAGUUUUGCAGUAAGCAUAACCUCAUUCUUGAACUCCUCAAAUCCUUGUUUGGAUGUCUUUGAGAGUUUCUUCACUGCUAUUACCUGUCCAUCAAGUAAUACACCCUGCAAACACCCCCAAAACAUUAAAAAGAAAAAAAAAAGGCAAUGUUCAUAUACAUGUGUGUGUGUGUGUGUAUUUCGCUAAUUAAUUAAUAAGAUGAGAGAUAGCCAAGCUAUCGAUAUAUAACCUUGUAAACAGGGCCAUAUCCACCCUCCCCGAGCUUAUUUUCAAUUGAAAAUCUAUCCGUGGCCACCUCAAUAUCAGCCAAGCUAUAUUCUCUAAGAUCAGGAUCAUUGCUGUUAAAAUCUCCAGCAUGUACUUGACUAUUUUCUCCGUCCUUUGAUGAUUUGGCUGAGUCAAUUACUAUCCCAAUUAAUAUCAACCAAGGAAAAAAAAGAAAAAGAAAAAGAAAAAAGCUAAUUUAAGUAAAUUGCCCACUUCUUCAACUGUGCUAAAUAGAAUAGAAGUAAAAAUAAUCCUAAACCCGCGUAGAAGAAGUUACCUUUUAAUUUGAGGUUUUUCAUCAAGCAGUAGUAAUACAGCCAAAAACCUAGUAGAAGAAUACAAGCUGCAGUUGUAGGCAAAACAACUACCCAUAACAAUCGCUUAUUUUGACCACUCUUGUCAUCCUCUUCAGCUGAAGAGUCAAUCACUUUGCGUUGGUUAACCAUUGAUGCUGAAAUAAAGAUCUUAAUUCAAGUCAUUAUCCAGAAAAGUGAUCAACGGAUUGCAGUGAGUGCGGAAUUCCAUUUGCUUACCUGCAGCUUGAGAAAGCAUCCAAUCAUGAUCAUAGGAAACUAGCCACACAUGGUAACCGCGUAGCUUCUUCUCCUUGGCAUAUGCAACCUUCACUCUAAUGGCCUCCACAUCAUCAAAACCAAACCAAAUCUUCCCAAUCGAGCAGUAGUUCACCACAUAAGUUGAAUUGUACAAAACAUGGACAUUAGGACCAUAGCUCUUGAUGUGAUUCUUGAUUUCUCUAUAACUCACAAGACCAUCUUCACUCAAAGCUGGUCCCGUUGCUGCUGCACCAAUACCAUUGUCCUCAGGUUUCACAAGCGUCCAUGCAUAGCCAUAGAAAGGCAAACAUAAAACCAAUUUAUCAGCCGAUAACCCUUCCUCAAUCCAUUCCGUGAUUCCGUAUUCAGUAUUAGAGUCACUAUUUGGAUCAUACAGAGCCGCAUGAGCACCAGUAAAAUUUGUCCACGUAGGGGCUGAGUAAUCAGUAGUGAAAACAUGGACCCAAUUCAAGUACUGUCUUAUAAAGUCGACUGGAUAAGUUGCUUCUGUUAAGAAUGGUGAAUAUGAAACCGUUGCCGUCAAAAUCAACUGUGAUUGGCUCGAGUUAUUUCUUGCUUCUAAAUCUACGGCAGCUCGCCACUCUUUAAAGAGAAUGGCAAUAUUGUAAUUAUCCCAGCUUGUGUUUGCCUGAGACCAAGACAGAUCUAAGCCUUGAAAGCCAUAAAGCCUUGCUAUUUUUAUUGAGGAGUCAAUGAAGGAUUUCCUGGAAGAAGGAUUGCUUGCCAUGGAAGAAUAAGUUGAAUAGCUUACAUCAUUUCCUCCUCCGAUGGAAAGAAGUGUAGUGAUCGAUGGGUUCUUUAUUUUGACUGUGUGCGUGGAGUUGGAGAAUUGUUUUUCAUCCGAAGGUAAUAAAGAAAGCUCAUAGGAAGUUGAGUUGACAUCAGCAAAACCACACAUAAGGUGAGUGAAGAGAGCAGAAUUUACAUCUGAAACAGGGAACCCACCGCCUGAAUCCCAGUAACCAGCUCUGAUUAAAGUUUGUGCUCUUGCAGGAAGCGAUUCUGAAAAUAUAAAAAUGUGGAGGACAAGAAUGAUAAUUUUGGAUGCCAUUGUGGGAACCUGGCUGCUUGAGGCAUACCUAGUAUGUGAUUAUAUAUUUGUGUACACACACAAAAUGUAAUGGAGAAAUUAUCCUUUACCGAUUGAGAUUAGUUAUUGCACUAAUAAUGAUGCAAACUUGAGUCAACUUUCAACUUAUGAGCUUAGUCCAUAAGUUUUUAUACGAUAUCAAAUUCAAGUUAUGAAUGAGGGACCCUAUAAUACCUUCCAACCUAACUUAAUAAUUAAUCUUAGCCAAUGUGACAUACUUGUUCUAUCACUUUAUCACGACCCAGUCGAUCUUUUAGCUUUGUCUUUUUUCAUGAUAAUAAGUGAUAAGAUUGAAGUUCUUAAAUUAAGCUAUGACUUUUGACCUCCACUUAGCUUGACUUCUGAAGUUGGAGACUCGUUCUUUUGUAUUGACUUUGUUGGUAUUUAAAUGAACUCGGAGUCCUCUACGAGUUUUUGAAGCGAAGUCAUUAUUCCUCUAUGACUCCAUCCAUGCAAUUGGAAGGCAAAAUCUUGUGAAAAUAUUUUCUAAGUUGAUUCAGUCCAUGAUCAACGUGCACAAAACGCAAAAUCUUGCGAAAAUCAAACCCGUCCUCACUCAUGAGCUCGAUUUCUAACUUAAACUCCUCCUCACUCAUGACAUACUAUAUAAAAUAUCGAGUUGACCUCACUUUAUUAAAUUACAGCUUGUCAUUGAAUUGAGUGUUGCCUUAAUUAAUCCAUCAACUUAAUAAAGUGAUGGUCAUUAAGAAAUACACUUAGUUACUUCCUGAUGGUAAGAUUCAAUAAUAUUGUAAUUUAAAAAAAAAAUCCAUAUACCUUUUCCUUGGGUAAUUUAAUUUCCAGUCCAGUCCACCCUCCCAUUUUAUCAUAAAAGUCUACACAAACAUACGUUUUACUCAAUGUUUACUUAGAAACAAAUGGCGCGCGUACGAUUGCCGAUCUAGUACCACUCUCGUAUGCUUGGUGGGAUUCGGCUUCACCAAAUUUGUAGCAUAUAUUUUACUUCAAUGAGAAAAUCAAAUAAUUAUUGAACAAAUAAUUUUUUUUUUCAAUAUACUUUCUUAAAAUGUAUGGAGUUGGUAAAGUGCAAAUUCAUUUUUUAGCCCUUUGACUCCUCCAAAAUCAAAACUCAAAUUAAUGGUCAGUUAAAUAAUGUUACUUGAAAAUCAUUUCCUAGCUAGAAUUUGUUUAAUUCUAUUAAUUUACAAUCGUUUUUCAUUUUACUUAAUUAAUUAAAGUGAAUUUAUUAUGUAUACAUUCUACAUACAUAAAAUUUUAAUAUUCAGUGUUGAAUUGAAUUGUACUAAAUUUUUUAUAAUUUUUUGUCAGACCUGCGUUUUUAACAGUUUAAUAUUAAUAUUAAUAGCACAUAAUAUACAGGAUUAAGAGAGAUUGAUUUCGACUGCUAGCUACAAGAGUUUUAGGAUUGCAUGCACAAGGGUUUAAAAACAAAGUGUACACUUAAUUACUCUAAACGAGGGUGCAUUUUUAUGAUGAAAUAAAAACUAUGUACAGGGUUGUAAAAUUGGUUCCAUAAUUAGUGUACAUUAACAUUCAUCUAGCUACCACCUCCGAAAAUGAUACAUCAUAAGCCGAGCAUUUUUCCAAAUUUGUUGUGGAUAAUAGUUCAAUCCCAAUUUCAUCCACUUGUUUUGAGAAAGCAGGCUUCUUGGGAGUAUUUGUAUUUGUGGUUUCAUUCUUGAGCAUUGAGGAAACUUCCAGCAUUGAAGGUCUAUCGUUUGGAUUCUCCUGGACACACAACAAAGCUAUUUCCAGACAUCUCAUUAAUUUACAAGAGGAAUUUCUAUCAUCUAGGAAUGAAUCCACAAACUCCAUGCCUUUGCCACCUUUCCACAACUCAUAUGCCUGAAAUUAUCAAGUACCAUCUUGUUACAUAAUUUAUACUUCUUAAUUAAGUGCGCAUAUGUGUACUCAGGGUUACUAUAGCCGAAGAAACUUACGUGCUCCAGAAUGCUUAAAUUUUCAUUGAUGCCACAUAACAUUGAAAGCCUCUUUCCACUUAUGAUUUGUAGAAGUAAAACUCCGAAACUAAAAACGUCUGAUUUGGUAGAGUAUACACCUUGUCUGGCGUACUCAGGAGGAAUAUAGCCUCUGCAUUCAAAAUAACCAAGUAUAUAUGAGUAAGGGAUUUUGCAAUUUAAUAAAUUUGUAAAACCCAUUUUAAAUUGUGGUAAAAGUCCAUUCUGCAUUUUAUUAAAGUGCUGAAUUCCUUAUUCGAAACCCAAUAUAUGUAUAACAAACAGAAGCUUGAGUAAAGGAUAUCAUUGAGAUGUAAUAUACUUACAUUGUUCCCACAACUUGUUCUGUAUUCGCUUUGAGACUCUCUUUUGCAAAAAUCCUAGCCAAACCAAAAUCUGAAAUUUUAGGUUUCAUAUCUUCACCUAACAAAAUAUUACUGGCUUUCAAGUCUCGAUGAAUAAUAGUCAGUCUUGAAUAUUCCUGGAGGUAUAAAAGGCCUUGAGUUAUCCCUUCAAUGAUAUGAACACGUUUUUUCCAAUCCAAAAUAAGUCUUCUGAUGGGAUCUACAACAAAUAUAUAGUUUUGGACAAUAAGUGAUAUGCAAAUGAAUUUUAUACACGAUUAAUAUUAACUUGAUUUCAGAACAAACCAAAAAGGUAGCAAUCCAAGCUUUUGUUUGGCAUGUAUUCGUAGACCAGCAUCCGUUCCUCACUGUCAAUGCAAAAACCUAAAACUCUAAUAAGAUUUACAUGUUGGAGUUUUGCAGUAAGCAUAACCUCAUUCUUAAACUCCUCAAAUCCCUGUGCGGAUGAUUUCGAAAGUUUCUUCACUGCUAUCACCUCUCCACAGGGUAAUACACCCUGCAACCCCAAAAAAACCACGUUCAUAUAAAGCUUUCACUAAUUAGAGAAGCUGAGAAAUGUUAGCCAAACAAUAUGCUACCCCCCAAAGUUGAGGCCACCAUUUUAAGUCCUUUAAGUCCCCAUGGACGCAAAAUGUAAAUCUCCUCUCACAGAAUAUGGAUAUGGGUAGAGGUAUCUUCCUAAAAUGUUAGUCGAAGUAGUUAUAUCCCUCUAGUGUGAGGUUAGAGGUCUCAUCUCUAAUAGGCAUAGAUUUUUAAAUUAUAUGUUUUGGGCCUCUGAAUUCUACGACGAGUGUACAAAUUCAAACUUCCGAUAGGAUCCAAAUUGCAACAUUGUAGAUUGUAACAAAUUAAAAUAUAGGUACACACACACACACACACAUAUGUUACCUUGUAAACAGGACCAUAUCCACCCUCCCCAAGCUUAUUUCUAAUUGAAAAUCCCUCGGUGGCCGCCUCAAUAUCAGCCAAACUAUAUACUCUGAGAUUAGGAACAUUUCUGUUAAAGUCUCCAGCUUCUGUUUCAUUAUUUGCUGUCGUGUUUGAUGCUUUAGCAGAAUCCUCUGUUCCUAACAUCAACCAAGAGUACAUAUUAGAUAAAUAAUUGUAUGUCAGCCUCAGAUUUAUGUGUAUAUAUAUGAAUGAAAUUCAUGCUUAAUUAUAAUUGAUAUCUGAAACUUGUUACCUUCUCUUAAAUUGAGCCUUUUCAUCUGGUUGUAUUUAUACGCACAACAGCCUAGAAGGAGAGUCAAAGCUGCCGCUGCAGUAGAAAUGAGUGCAAUGGACAGAUGGCGGUUAUUACUAUAUUCAUCUUUGUCAGCUGAAGCAGAAGUAAUCCUCUCUUUUUGUGCUGGAAAUAUGUAUAGUUCACCAAUUAAUAAUAACUAGCUAGAGAUGCCAUAACAAUCAUUAUUAAUCAGAGAGAACAAUUAUUGCAUAGAUAAAUACCUGCAGCCUGAGAAAGCACCCAAUUAUGAUCAUCAUAAUCAACUCGCCACACAAAGUAACCACGUAACUUCUUCUCCUUAGCAUAUGCAACCUUCAUUCUAACGGCCUCGACAUCAUCAAAACCAAACCAAAUCUUCUCAAUCGAGCAGUAAUUGACCUCAUAAGUUGAAUUGUACAUAACUUGGACAUCAGGACCAUAGGUCUUGAUGUGAUUAUUGAUUUCCUUAUAAGUCACAAGGCCGCUAUCAUGCAAAGCUGGUCCUGCUGCUGCUGCACCAAUUCCAUUGUCUUCAGGUUUCACAAGCCUCCAUGCAUAGCCAUAGAAAGGCAAACACAUAACCAACUUAUCUGCCGGUAAUCCUCUCUCAAUCCAAGCCUUUAAAACCUGAUCGGUACUUCUAGCAAAGCCGCCGCUACUUGAGCCAUAGAGAGCCGCAGGCGGUGCCGUGAAGUUUGUUGACACAGGCUCGUAGUAGCUAGCAGUAACCGCAUGAACCCAAUUCAAGUUUCGUUGUCUCGAAUUCAAAAGAUAUGAAUUCGCUGGUGGUGAAUAAUGAAAUCUUGCGGUCAAGAUCAGCUGGGAUUGCUGGCGACUAGAGUUUUUUGCCUCUAAUUUUGUAGCAGCAAUUCGCCACUCGUCAAAAAGUAAACCAAUAUUGAACAAAUCGGUGCUUGUGUUUGGAGCUGUCCAAGCAAAGUCUAGGCCCUGAAAGCCAUAAAGCCUAGCUAUUCUUAUUGAACAGUCGAUGAAAGAUUUUCUGUGAGAAGAAUUACUCACCAUUGAAGAAUAAAUAGAAUAGUUUGUAUCCAUUCCUUGUCCAAUGGAGAGAAGUAUAGUGAUUGAUGGGUUCUCUUUUUUCAGUGUCUACGAAUUUGGCGAUUUGAUUUUCAUCGGAUGGUAAUGAUAAAGAUAGCUGGUAAGUGGUGGAAUUGAUAUCAGCGUAAGAGCAAAUAAGGUGAGUGAAGAGAUCAUAAUUUAUGCCCGAAAUGGUGGACACUUCGCUUGAAUCCAAGUAACCGACCCUGAUCCACGGUUUUGCUUUCGCGGGAUGAAAUUCUGAAUAGAAUAACAUGUGGAAGAUGAUGCUGAUAAUUAUGGAUGCCAUUUGAGACUUUGUUAGGAAUGGAAAUGGAUCCACACAAGAGAAAUUAAAUAAACACUAGUUUCACAGACCAUUUAAGUUCUUAUGUAAACUAUUAACUUAUAAGUUCAUUUCGUUCCAAAAAAAUCUUAUGUGCUCCGGAUAGGGACACAUACAUUGCAUGUUAAGAUGAUGAUAGGCGAUGCGACCAUUGCCUGAGAACUAAGAUUUUCUUCCAUCGCUUGGGUGACCUUUCACGAAGAAAGAUGAUGUUUUGAUUUACAUUUGGUUAAAUUGAUGACAAAUUUCGGGCUAUAAAUAUCACUCUUGUUUUAUUAAAUAAUUAAAAAAAUUAAUUUUACAUGUACGUUGAAAGUUAAUAUUGCAAUCACCAACAAGUGCGUAGAUCAACUGGCAAGGGGUUGUUCUAUCUUAACCAAGGUUCUCGGUUCGAGACUUGAGAAUGCAGUUGCGUUAAAUACUUGUUGGGAGAGUUUUGUCAUUCUAAUGGUCUUACACGGCUCGAAUCUGAAUUAGAGUUUUGCCACCCUAAUGGUCCUACACGGCUCGAAUCUGAAUUAGUCAAGACCCACUGAAUUAGAGUUUUGCCACCUUAAUAGUUCUACACGGCUCGAAUCUGAAUUAGUCGAGACCCAAUGAUACCAAAUGGCUUAAUAUACCAAAAAAAAAGUUAAUAUUGCAGUCUUUUGAGAUUGUGUUGACGUUUAUUCGGUUCGUUUAUUAUAUAUUCCCGUUUUUCUCCCUGUCUGUUUGCUACAGUGCUCUUAAAAGGAUAGCAUCUUUAAUGCACCUCAGAAGUAGUUAAGAAAGUCUUGAUAAAAAACCAGACAUUUUCUAUCUACUCAAAACGUAGUUAUUGGACUAAUUAAGAUUCUAAUCCCUUUAAUAAAUAUUCAAAAAGGGUUACUGUCACUACUCAGUCCUUGUUGUUUUAUAUAAAUAAAUAAAAAAGAUAUUUAAAGGGGCAUCACAUAAAUCCUUCCUAAUUACAUUUUGUUUCAUUCAAGUUGUUGACUUAAUUUGACUGCCUGGAAAAAUUAGUAAAGAGGUAAAAAUAAAAAAAAGGUAAAUUCUAGUUAUUAGACUAAAUAUAUAGUAUAAAUUUGCAGCAACUAGCAAAAGUUUAGAAUAUGAAAAAUCCUAUUUCAUUUAAAAAACAAUGAAAAUUCUAAUCAUUUUAAAAAAAAAAAACUCUGAAAGUUUGAAAAACUAAGAUUUUAAAGUCCUUUUACAAUAACCAUAAUUAACACAAAUUUCCGAAUUAUUAUUACAUAAUAAAAUUUUACUAAUAGAAAUAAGAAAACAAAACAAAUAGCACUCAAAUCGGAUAUAUAAAAAAAAUCUUGAAAUAAAUAGAAAAAAUAAGAAAAUAACUAAAACUUGCAAAACGACCACGAAAGAAAUGAAAUUUCCGGCCGAACUAAGGGGCCAAUGUGCAUAGUAUUAUUGGACUAGAUUUAUCACACCACAAGCUUCAAAACAAUAUAUUAUAUUUCCUAAAUGGACACAUGUAGGUUAAGUUACUCAAUUGUGUUAGGAGCUGUCCAAGCAAAAUCUAGGCCCUCAAAGCCAUAAAGCCUAGCUAUUCUUAUUGAAGAGUCGAUGAAAGAUUUUCUGUGAGAAGAAUUUCUCACCAUUGAAGAAUAUAUAGAACAGUUUGUAUAUCUUCCUCGUCCAAUGGAGAGAAGUGUAGUGAUUGAUGGGUUCUUUUGUUUCACAGCGUCUGUAAAUUUGGGGAAUAUUUGAUUUCCAUCAAAUGGUGAUGAUAAAGAUAGCUGGUAAGCGGUGGAAUUGAUAUCAGCGUAAGAGCAAAUAAGGUGAGUGAAGAGAUCAUAAUUUAUGCGCGAAAUGGCGGACACUUAGCCUGAAUACAAGUAACCGACCCUGAUCCACGGUUUUGCUUUCGCGGGAUGAAGUUCUGAAUAGAACAACAUGUGG